UUUUCUCUUUCUGCCGUCGUUACUCACUUCUGGUUGUCUUAUGUAACUGAAGAAACUAAAGAUUUCAAUGAGGAAUUGUUCCACGCUUCCAUUUGGUUCACCUUAUUGUCCAUGGCAGCAAUGGCGAUUGCAUUUGCUACGGGCACAUAUGCAAUGUUAGCCCCUUCUUUAGGCCUUGCUAUUAUCACUUGUUUAAUCGGCCUGAGCUUUUUCUUGCUUGCGAUUUGGAUCAUCAGAUUGUCUAAUACUGAGAAGGACAAUAGUAAUUGAUUAUAGUAAGUCACCAUCUUUGUUUAUCAAUAAAAUGAUUGAUUUUCAUUUUAAGAUAAACAUUAAUUAAUUUACUCAAUCUUUGCUAAUAAUAAUCAUUAUUUUAAUUGUACAUUGAUCACUGAUGUUUUAAUGAUAAUUAAAUUUGAGAUCCAGGCCGGUCUACUUUACUGUUAAUGAUUAGAUUGAAUUGGUGAGAGGAAGUCAAAAUCAAAUUUAAUAUUUCAAAUUGUUUGUACUUUCUUAUGUUGAUGGAAUAAAAUCUUAAUUACUUUGUCAAAAAAAUUGAAAAAAUUUAUCUCUUUGUAUAAUGCAUCAUUAGAAAUCUUUAAUUAGACGUGAGUAAAGAAAAUCCAUGAUGCGUGUUUAAGGGUGGUAUUGUAUAUAUAUAUAUAUAUAUAUAUUAGUUUUUUUAAUAAGUUAAGAUAUUGCCAUGAGAAUUUUACUAGUAUUUACAAUUAAAAAAUCUAUUGAAAUUAUUUUUGAUAGAUUUAGUAUGAUACAAUUUAAAUUUCUACUCUCACGUGAUACCAAAGUGAUAUUUGCUCAACUCAUAUUAUUAGAGGAGAAAUCUACUCCUAUCCAACUUAAUUGUAAGGGAAUUUGAGUCCAACAAUAGUUGGGACUCUAAGGUUGUACUAACGGGCUAAGAACAUAAGUACUUAUAUAAGUAAAUAAAAUUUUACCAUUCAAUAGGAUAAUGACACAUCAUUGUAAAGUCAAAUCCUAUAUCACUAAAAUGAGUUGAAUUAAGGCCGAGAAAGACCAAAAGGGAGGGACGUUACUUUGAAGGAAUUAUUGCAACCAUCGAAAACUAAUAAAUGAAAUGGUUGAGGCUUUGGAAGCUCAGGCACAUGAUGGGUCAGGUUCUGUUCAGCCCGUUCAAACUUGGAAAAGUUUAAUGAGCUUAGGCUUGAGCCUGGGCUUGUCCAAUCUCAGCCCAUUCUCCAUCCCUUUUUGGUCCCACCACUGAACAGAAAGGAAUCCCAACUCCGAAUUUAGCCUAAUCAUCUGCUCUCUGCUGAAUUCCACGGAAAUAUGUGUAAACCAAAAACGAAAUGGGAAAUUUACAGUAAUAACCAAAAAAAUUAUGCUUUUUUUCAUCUUAACCCCCCAAAAAUAUUUCUAUCAACAUUAGCCAUUAAACAACUUUUGAGACCAAAACACCCCUCCCUCAUCUCUCCCCCAACACUCCUUUUUUCUCAUCUCUCCCAAACCGAUCCAACUCCCAUCAUCGGCGGCGACAUCAACCCUCGUCGGCGGCAGCUCCAUCUCUCACCGGCAUCCGAUCUACAACCUUCAACAAAACCUAGGUUAGUCAUUUUUCUUAUUUUCAUUAAUUUAAAAUGAGAUUUUAGAAUAAUAAUAGUUAUAGCUUGAGAAUAAUGGUGGUGGUGUUUGUGGUGGUUGAUGGUGUUUUUGGGAGUAUUGUUUUUCGAUUUUGUUGUGGCUUAAUUUUGGGGAUGAAGAGGGAAGGGGGUAGGGUGCGCGCGCGCGCCCAUCGUUGGGCAGCAGCGCGCGCCCAUGCGCGCCCCACUGUCGCACCAAAUCUGGUGCGACAGCAAGCGCAUGUCGCACUAAAAAAUUAUAGUGUUUUUUUUAACGAGUAUUUUUUUUUUCUGUAAACGUAAUGUAAUAAUUUUAUAAAUAUUACAGAUACAUGGCAAAAUCAGAAUCACCGGAUAUUGAUGUAGGCAAGAUGUAUUUUAGUUAUGCCGAUCACUUUCCUGGUCGAAUUUCGAGCAUGUGUAAGUUAUCUUCGGUCAUAAAAGCCAUCGAGGAAAAAUUAACAAAGCGGCCGUUGACUAUGUUAAAAAAGGAUAUAUUUGGGCAUUUCUUGGAGUGUCGAAGUUUUCCAUUUAGUGGGGUAAUUUUGCACAAUCUUUUGCUGAGGCAAGUGGCCCAUGAAGAAGAUAGCCGUGAGGAUCAGUUAUGGUUUCAAAUUGGUGAGCAUUUGAUUCGCUUGUCAAUUGUCGAAUGGUGCUUGGUUACUGGACUUUCAUUUGGUGUUGAUACCAAUCAAAAAAAUGAUGAAAUGGAGCAGAGGCUACGGAAUACGUAUUUUGGUGGUGUUCAUCGUAAGAUUAAUGUGAAGGAAUUCGAUGCAAUAUUUAACGAGUUGAAAUUCGAGGAAAUGGACGAUAUGGACGCAUUAAAGAUUGCGUUGUUUUAUUUUGCGGACCGAGUGCUAAAUGCAAGAAAAAAUCACUGUCAAAUCAAUUUCGAUUGGCUUGACCAAGUUGAUGAUAUACAGUACUUCCGAAAGCGUCCAUGGGGUCUGUUGUCGUGGGAAAUGAUUUACGAGAGUCUUGACAAUGCACUGUUCGAGAAAGACGAGAAAUUUAAGAAGACUCGGUUGAAAAAUCCAGAUCAUAACAUUGAAAAAUACAAUCUUUAUGGCUUUACGUCUGGGGUUCAGGUGCGUAUUUGUUUUUGUUUAUUAAUAAGUUUUAUAGUAUUAAAUAUUUGAUAUGUUGUUUUAUUUAAUUUUUCAAUUUGGUUGUUGUAGGCUUGGAUUUACGAAGCAAUCGGAGGGUUGCCAUCAACAUGGGUCGUCAAAACGAAGAAUAAGAUUCCCCGCAUGUUGCAAUGGAAGCCCAUGGCGUCUUCGAGAAUCAAUUUUACGGAGGUUUAUUCGUUCUUCAACGACGAAUCUCGUCUUGUAAGUAAUAUUUAUUACUUAUUUUUUUAACUUGACUAAAUUUAAGUUAUGUAUACUUACUUAAAAUUUUCAAUUUAAUUUAUUGCAGGGGGAUGUUUUACAAACUCUUGAGCCAAAUUCAAAGGAGAGUAGCAGAAAUUAUUGGGUCUCUGUGAAGGAUUACUUGCCAAGCAUCCCAGGCUAGGUUCUUAAGGUUGGCAUACUCUAAGUACUAAAAUUUUUUAAUUCGAAAUUUUUGACUUUUCAUUUAAUAAUUUUAAAUGAUACUUUAUACAGCACCAACCCUCAAUCAACGCGAUGCCGUCGGUUACAAGGCAAUCAGACGAGCAUGACGAUCAUGACGACAAACCAAACCCAAUACCAGAGCAGCGUCAUGACACUUAUGAGGAUGAGGUGGCUGUUGAUGACCACCAGCAGCGUCAUGACACUUAUGAGGCUGUUGAUGACCACCAGCAGCGUCAUGACACUUAUGAGGCUGUUGAUGACCACCAGCAACAAACAGACAACUCUGAUGACGCACGGGAUUCUGAGGUUAUAAAUAAUAUACGAUAUUGUUUCUUUAUAAAUUAUUAUUUUUUUUGUUAUUCUAAAGUUUUCUGUUUUUUCUUUUGUAAUAGUCGAGGACAAAGCAGUUUCAAGAUUACAUACAACGACGGCUGGAUAAGAUUGAUCGUAACGUGUACGAAAUAAAUUCAGAAUUAAAAGAUUUUAAAGAAACCGUUGUUGGCUUCAUCGACACAUUUUCUAAACGUCCAAAUAAGGAUUCUCCCACUGCACGCUCGUAUGCGGUGAGCAAAUUUAUAUUUAAUAAUUAUGUUCGUUUAACUUUUAAUUUGAUAGUUGUUUAAUAUGUUCUUCUCGGCGAAUGGACAGGCCCCGGAUGACUAUGGAGUGUAUACUGACGUGGGCAAUGAAAAUUUAUCUACGCCCACGUCAUUGUAUAGUUUCUACGGGGAUGUUAGUGGGGAGAGCGUGCAGGUGUACUCUGAGGUGCCUCCCGGCGUUAGUAAGUUCGGCCGCGCGUACAUACCGUCGUAUGUUUAUAACAGUCCUUACAUGAUUCCUCCAGUCAGGCGAAGACAGAACGUCCGGCCUUUGCCUCGACCCCAAAUCUUGGAGCAUGCGAUUGACAUGAGUACGACUGUGGAUAUAAAUCCACUGAGAGGGUUGGAGGACUCUAGUAUGUUUGCUGAGUUUGAUCGAUGGUUCACUGGUGAUAGCAGAGUCUGCCGGAGAGUCCAGCACCCGCGGUCAUUCUUUCAAAUAAUCUUGGGGACAGCUUCGAUGGGAUGGCUAGGCGAUGAGGUAUUUAUAUUUUCGUCGUGAUGUAUACUGUUGUGGAUUUGUGUAUAAAUUUUUUUUUUAAAUCGUAAUAUUUCUGUUUCUCUACAGCAUAUUCACGAGUAUCUCCGCUUGAUUAGCGAGAAACAACGGCAGUACCCAAAUGCCUUACUCCAACGUGUCACACAUACUGACACAUUUUUUUGGGUAACGUGCAUACAAAACGUAUAAAUACUAUUUAAUUUUGUUUUUAAUUAUUGCCUUUAAGUUUUGUUAAUGUAUGCAUUUCUUGGUUAUCUAUGUACUAGGUGUUCUUGAAUCAGUUAUGGAACAACGGGGAUUGUGCGGUCGAUUCAUUAGUAUUCGACGACCGCGUGAAUAGUUAUCUUUGUGGGCGACAGCACACAAUGUCCAAAUCAAUGACGGAUGUCGAUAUGGUAUGUAUUUUAUUGCAUUUUAUAUACAAGUUGUCGAUUUUUCUUAGUUGUUUUUCAAUUUCAUAUAUAACAAACAUGUUUUUUAAUUUUUAUAUACAGUUACUCAUCCCUGUUAACUUGGACGGCGAGCAUUGGGUACUGGCACGAGUAGACUUUCGGAAAAACAAAGUCUGGAUUUAUGACUCAUUACUCACAUGCCGCGACGACAAAACAUACAGAUUGAAAUUAAAGCCACUUGAAGUUAUUUUCCCUCGAUGGUUGGAAUAUGUUGGGUUCUACAACAUCCGACCUGAGUUGCAGAGUGCCGACCCCUGGAAAGUUAUCGCAGUUAGGAGCGCGCCACAACAGGAGCCCGGAACUGGCGAUUGCGGUGUUUUUGUAUUGAUGGUUACGAUGUAUUUAAUGUUCGGGCUUGGAUUGGAGUUUAACGCUAGUCAUGUCGAGUACUUUAGAAAGAAGAUUGCGGUUGACAUAUUUAAUGACGAUAUUGUAUUGUAAACCGUUGUAGUAAUUUGAAUGUUUAAACUUGAAUUUUUUUUUUAAUUUGCGCACUUACGUUUAUAUAAUUUUAAUGCUCACAUUUUAAUAUUUAAAAUAAAAUAAAGUUUUAUGAAAUAUAAGUGUACAAUACACAAAACACAAUAACAUCUAACUUCGAGUCGACGCAAUGGGAUUCUUACAUCGCUUACGAUUAUGGCCCAGUUCAUGACACCGCCCGCAUCUUACAGUCCGCCUGUUAACGUCCUCGCCAGCCGAGGGUAUUCUGAGCUCUUUACGACGGCCGAGUGGUGGUGCCUCAACUGGUGGGUAUACUUGCAUCUCUACCAUUUUAUCUGGAAUUUCCCAAUCAGCCACAUCACCAACUGGCUCUACUGGUUGUGCAUAAGCCAUCGCCAACGAUUCUGUAGUGUAAAAGUCCGAGCAUAGGUUAAUAAAAUCCACCCGGUGUGUUAGACACGCCGCAAUUGCAUGAGCACAUACAAGCUGGUCAAGCUGAAACACUCUGCAUGUGCAAGUUCUCUUUUGCAAGUCAACCAAACCUUCCUUAAGCCCACCGCCUACCACUUGAAAUCGAUGCUGAGACACCGGUCGAACUAUCAUUCUUUCAGCUAUAGUUCUCCUCUCAGUGACUAUUUUAUCCGCCCAUGUUGUUAGCCAAGUAGUCAUUGAUUCAGCCACAUUUUUUCUAUCAUAAAACCAUUGCUGCAUUGUUUUUCUAAAGUGAUCAACAAGAUGAGUAACAGGAAAUUUUUGAGGUUCCCGCAUGAAAGAAUUAACACUCUCCGCGAUGUUGGUGGUAAGUAUGCUGUACCUCCUACCUUCAAACUGAGACCUUGCCCAAUUACACGUACCGACAUUAUUUUCUAAGUAAUCAGCCGCACCCGAGUGGAUCAUCCACAACCCUUCAAGUUGUCUCUUAAAUUCCUCGUGGCCAUAUGCUUUUGCUGCAUUAAUAAAGGCAGGCUCAAAUUGAUCCCAAAGAGCUUUGGACAUUCUAAACUGAGACUUAAUGUUACCUUUGACGUGGUAAAAACAAACGCCAUGAGUUGCAUUGUGAAAUACUUUAAGAACGGCUCUCCUUAUGGCAGUGCAUCGAUCAGAGAUAAUUACCAACUCAGGUCUAUCGCCAAUCACUCCGUGUAACUUCAUCAUAAACCAUUCCCAAGCAUCAUUGUUUUCUGAAUCCAUGAUCCCAAUGGCUAACGGAUACAAUUGAUUGUUACCAUCAAGACAUUUUGCCACGAACAUGCUUCCACGAUAUAGUCCCUUCAGAUGAGUACCAUCUACAGCAAUGACAGGCCGAAUGUACUGCAUAAAACCCUUGAUGGAAGAUCCGAGUGCUACAAAAUAGUACAAGAAAUUACCAUCUCCAUCCUGCUCGAGGUGAGUGACUGUACCCUCAUUAGCUGUAGUUAGUACGUAAGAGUAUUUAGGGAGCAAGUUGUAUGACUCUGCAGGGUUGCCUCGAACUAUUUCAAGACCAACUUCUCUCGCCCGAUAUGCCUGCUGGUAUGUUAACUGAACACCGUAUUCAUGUUGCAUAUCUGCUCUUAUGUCAUUCGGAGUAUAAAUCCUCUUGUCUUGAAUAUAUUUUUCUGCGAUAAUAUGACCGACAACCCGGCUCCUUACUUGAUGACGUCCAUCAACCAAUACCUCAUUAUGACAAGUUUGUACAUUGUCAAUUCUCUUCACCACCCAAGGAACAUUUUGCUCGUUCGAACAUCUAGUUGCUCGAAUACGUCAUUUACAUGAUUCUGAACAACAGUGAGCCUCGAAACGUGUCGUAGUAGACCGUGCAAUCUUGAAAUCAAACUUAUCUCUAAAGGCAACCUUGCGUAGUUGUAAUAUAAACUCAUUCUUCUCAGCAAAUAGCUUACCCACACUGAUAUCAUCUGAAUCACAACUGCUAACAAAGCUUGGAGCAACCAUGUUCGAAGGCAAAGUUGGAGCAAGACUUGUAAGGGGGUCAAUUCGCCUUCUCGAUCGAACCAUAGAAGGACUAGGUCUAUUGCCUCUGUUAUUCACAGGAGUAUUGUCUUCACACUCAUCGUCGUGCUGAAACGACGGAACAUUCGAAGGACCGGCUCCUCCAUCAUCACCAUCAUUAUUGAAAUGAGUGCCCCUCGUAUUAUUAGAAGGUUCUGUACAAACAUUAUCCCCCUCUGUCUCAUGAUGAAAAUCAUCAUUGUCCCGAAAAUCAUUGUUGUGAUACGGAGAAUACCGUUGCUCCAACGACGUUGUUAUUGGAAAUACCGUUGCUCCAACAUCCUCUAACGUAACGCCGUUAUCAUCAAUGUUGUCAUAAUUGUCGUGGAUUGGAGAGUAAUAUUGCUGCAGCGAUAUUGUCCUUGGCAACACCUCUUCAUCAUUAUCGGGGCCAGACAUAUUUGCUCUAAACGAAGUUUCUGUAUCGACAUGUGCCUCAAUACCUUCGCUCGGAACUCGAGGUGAUGUGGUCACGAAUAUAGGAAUGCAUCCAAAAUUGGCUACGUCAGAUGCCAUAUGCAACACAACCCUCACCAUUUCAUCAUCAAAUAUAUCCAUGGGCAGUGCACAUAUACGAUAUAUUGUGUUACUAGACCUCAAAGUUGUCUUCACUGUAAUACUAUAUUCAUUAGGGUUUAUUUGUAACACCUCGUAUACUCUUGCCAAUAACUGAUCAAACAGACAAUUUUUCCCAACCAAAAAAGCUCGAUUUUUACCAUUCACAUACUCCAUACGGCCAUCCUCUAAUGUCUCCCACCAACCAUCGUAACACAAUUCAAGUACAACUGAAUCCAUUAAGCCUGAAAUUAUCAACAAAAAAAAUAAUUGGAUCCGGAUCAAAUUAAUACAGUUUUAAUGAAUCUCCAAGGCUUCGGGCGACAGGCAGCCUGUCGCACCAACUCUUUUUGCGACAGGCACCCUGUCGCACCAAGAGUUGGUGCGACAGGUGCCUGUCGCACCAAGCAAGGUGCGACAGGUGCCUGUCGCCCCUGUAGCUAGAAAUUUUUGGUGCGACAGGCAGCCUGUCGUCAGAUUCACCCACGACUCAGUUAAGCAAGUUCAGAAAAUAACACAUACCACUAAGUGAUGUCGAUUAGUGUUGGAUACGGAUAGAUUAUGAUCGGAUUUCACCUUUACUGUUGUCUUUCGCCGUUGACGUUGGUUGAUGAUUAAGCUGCGUUUGGUUUGACGAUAUGGGAGAAAGAUUGUUGCUUUUGGUCUGUAAAGAAGGGUAAUUUGGGGAGAAAGGCUUGUGUUUGGCUAAUGUUGAUAGAAAAAAGUUGAGAGGGUUAGUUGUGAAAAUAACAAAAUAUUUAUGGUUAUUUUCGUAAAUUUCCCAAACGAAAUCAAGUUUGGAUUCCUAAAGAUUGUGCAAAGCAAGCACAUGAGCUGCUCUAUGGCCCAAAAGGCGAUUUUUGGACCGUCAUAAAGCGGGCAAGGCAAAAUGCCAAUACUUAUCAUUAUACUUUUAGGUAAAGUCUCUAAAUCUCUCGACCUUAGUCGUGAGAUUUGAUCAAUUAAAAUUACAAUUUAGGUGAAGUUUCGAGAUAAUAUUAUAAUAGUUAUUUUUAAUUAAAAUUAAUUACUCUAAAAUAAACUACUAAAUAUAUGCUUUCAAAUUCAAUAUUCACAAAUUCAAAUGAAUUAGGUUGUAUGAUAUAUAUUACAGAGGACUCACUUCUAUAAACCAUUUAAUCUAUCAUAUAUAACGUCAACUGUACUUGUUUGGUUUGCUUAGCCAUCUACUUAUACAUACUAAUUUUAAUAGGAUAAUUUGAUAACUAAGUCUUUAAUGUUUAUCUAAGAUUAAACUACCUCAAAGACUUAGCCGAGUGAUUUUUAAAUAAUUUUACUUUAUUGAUUAUCUAAAUUCAAAUCCUAUGGUAUUGAUUUGGGUUGGCUGAGGUAGAUUCUUUUUAACAAGCACUAAUUAGAAAAAAAAUUAAUAUAUUUAUAUAGAUGACAACUAGUUUUGUAGGUAAAUUCAUUUGUAAAUAUCUUUAAUAAAUUUCAACAAGGUGUUCAAUGUGUGAGAGAUUUGAGAUGAAUUAGAAUGAAACUAAAAAAGAGAGUUUCUUUGAUAAUAUAUUCAUAGUGCGUUUAUUAACUAUGAAUCCUAAUAGGCAAGAAUCAUAAUGAGUUGGAAUCAAAUUGUAGAAGAAUAAAUUGUCUACUUCAAAUACAAGAAUCGAGAUCGAAAUCAACAGUAAUCUAAACUUAAUGUAUUUACUUUAUCUUAAAAUCAGAAUAGAUGGUUGUAAGUCACCAAAAUAGAGUAAAAAGAAAGUUUUAAUUUUCAAUAAAGAUAAACAAUUUUUACACUUUAUUCUCAUUUCUUCAUUCUUAUUCUCGCGUCUUCCAUCUAAAUGAAAUUCCUACUCAUUCCCAAAUUAUGAGACUCACUCAAAAUUUAUUUAUAUUUCUUUAUAUUUCUAGCAAGUAAAUAUUAUUAAUAAUUCUCAUUCCCCAUUUUUUUUCUAAAUCCCAAAAAUAAACAUAUUAAUUACAUUCAUUGCAUCAACAAAAUCAUGUGGUUGUCCUAAAAUUGAUCUAAGAACCCACAUUGAGAAUAUGUUUCCUUCUAGUUUUAUUUUAACUUUCAAAAGACACGACUCCGCUCCCGCAUAGGCUUGGCAAUUUAGUCCGACUCUAUUUUUGGCCCGAUUGACCCGACCCUAAUUUUUAGGGCUUUGACCCGAAUUUUUGAGGUUAGGGUCAAAAUUUUAAGGCCCGAACAAAUUUCGGGUCAGGGUCGGGUCGGCUUUAAGACAUGAGUUUGUUAUUUGUAUAAGAUAUUUUUUUUUAAUGUUGGGUUGUGGAACUAAAUUGUGUGUUUUUAUUUGUAUAAGACAUGAGUUUUUUAUUUUUUAUUUUUUAUGUUGAGUUGUUAAAUUAAAUUGUGUAUGGCUAAAAUGAUUGUGGAAUUACAUUGCGUGUUUUUAAUUUAAUUGCAUUGUGUAUUUUUCAUGUUGGAUUUUGGAAUUGAUUUGUGUGUAGGGUUGAAAUGGUUGUGGAAAGUGGAAUUGAAUUGUGUUUGAAAUGGUUGAGGAAUUGCCGAAUUGGUUAAAAUGUUGGUGAGAAAUGGGCGGGUUAACUAUUUCGGUAGGGUCAGGUUGGGCCCGACCCGAUGUUGACCCGAGCCCGACCCUAACUAAAUAGUGUUCGGGUUUUUUUAGGGUCGGGUUUCAAAUUUUUUUUUUAUUGGGUCAGGUAGGGCUUGGCCAAGCAUGAGCCCGACGCGACCUUUUGCCAUUCCUACUCCCGCAUUCAACCAAUGGCAAGUGGAUAGUUGAUGGGUUGUGAGGAAACCACUUUCGAUUUGGUGAUUGUCCCCCUUAUGACCACAAAAAAAAGGAAAGUGGCUGAAAAAGCAAACUACUCUUUUUUUAAAAAAAAAAAAAAAGAAUUUUGACCGUAGACUCUCUAGUUCCUACUCAUUACGAGUUAAAUUCUCUCGUUACUAGACAUGUCACAUGUAACUGUAAGUUGCAUCAGGGGACCUAUCUCCCUAGUCCCUAGCAAAUAACCAAAACGCACAACAAAAGAAAAGAAACAGAGAGGGGGAUUCAUGAAAUACUAAAAAUUACGGUCUAAUAAAUUUUAAUUAAUAUAUGUACCACAACUGCUAUAAACAAUAACAGAUAAAUUAAGAUUUUUUAUUAUAUAAUGAUUUUUUUAUCAUUCUAAUUUUGACUAAUAGACGAACUUAGGUGGCGUUUGUUUUUUAACUUAAUGACUUAAAGUGACUUAACUUAAUUAAUUAAGUUAAUUAGAGGUGUUUGUUUUUAUAACUUAAUGAGACUUUUUAGAUAAUUUUAAUUUAAUAAAAUAAGCUAUUUUUUUUUGGAUUUUUACUUAAUGGAGAAAUCUGAAUUAAGUCAAUUACUUGCUAAUGUCAAAAAUAUCUCUGUUUUAUAAUUUAGUUUUCAUGUCUAUCCCAAAACUCACCCAUAGACAUUUACCCUACAUAAAAAUAUCCAUGUUUCUUCUUUCUUAUAUUAUAUAAGAUAAAAUUUGAAAUUUAUGGUAUUUUAUAUAAUAAAGUUCCAAAAUAAUUAUGUAUUUACUUGAAUAUAGUUUUACUUAUAAAUGUUAAAAUAUUGUGGUAUUAAUAUAUUAUUUAUUUGAUAUUCAAAUUUAAUAAGGAUACAAAUGUAAAAGUACAUAUUUUCAACUUUUUAAGUUGAAAAAAACAAACAACUUAAUACUUAUUUUUCGAGAUUUAGACGAAAAAGCAAACAUAUUAUUUAGAUUCAGACAUUCAAAUCUAUUCAGAAUUCAGAUUAAUUCAGGUCUAUUCAGAUUUCAGACAAAAAAACAAACGCCACCUUAGUCGCUGUUUGUUUUUUUUACUUAAUAACUUAAUUGACUUAAUUUUAAUAAAUUGAGUUAUUAAUUCUGUUUGUUUUUUCAACUUAAUGUAGAUUUUCAGCAAUUAAGUUAUUAAGCAAAUUUUUUUAGUUUUUUACUUAAUCUAAAAAGUUUGAAUGCUAUCAUUAAAAGAUAUUAAAUAUCCCUAUCUAAUUAAUUAAUUUUCAUCAUUAACUAAAUAAAAUUUACUAAUUAGCAUUAUUACCCAUCUGUGCACAACUUCUGAUAAUAUAUAUAGUGGUAGCCUAUUAUUUUUUUAUUUUUUUAUUUUGUUUAAAUUAAUAUUAUUUAUCUUCAUAAUUUUAUAUGAAUAUUUUUCAUAUAAAAACAUCACAAACUAUAAUAAAAUUGAUUAACAUAUAUGAUAUAAAAUAUUAAAGAGUUGUACCCAAUUGAAUAUGAUUUAUGUUAUGAUAAUUUAUUAUCUUAUUUAUAUUCUUUGAGAUGUUUAUUAUUUGUAAGGGCAUAAAUGUAAAAAUAUUAGUUUUUAGAUAUUUUAAGUCAAAAAAGCAAACAACUUAAUAUUUAUUUCUAAUUACUCAGACAAAAAAAAAAACAAACAAUCAUGUUAUUCAUAUUCAGACAUUCAGCUCUAUUCAGAAUUCAAACUAAUUCAGAUUUUUAACCUUUAUACAACUUUGUAUUAUCAUUCAUAUUUUAAAUGAACAAUUUAUUAAAAUUAUAAAUAUAAUUAUUAUUAAUAAAAUAUCACUCCAUUGUUAGUCUAAUGAUCUUUUGUUCAUCAGAAAAUUACAAAGGAGUGGUUGUAAAUCCCCUAUCUUCAAAAAGGGCAAAAAAAAAAGUCCAAAUCAAUAUUAUACUACUUGUCCCAUUCAUAGAAUUAUUGCUUCUCUUGUUCUUCACUUCAAAAUUAAGCGUACUGUGCAUCCGAGAUACUAUUCACCCUUGCCUAAUGGAUCAACUUCGCCAACAUGAAUUCUGUUUCCAAUGAGAUUGAGGAAGCUUCAUUAUUGGACAACAAUGGCGAGAUCAGUCAGUCGCAAAUAGACCCAAAUUUGUUCAAAGCCACAGCUGCGGGCAAUUCGGAGCCCUUCAAAGAUAUGGCAAGAGAGGUAAUUAAGAGCAUGUUAACAGCAAGACCAAGAACACAAUCCUGCAUAUCAAUAUCAAAUUGCAAAAGACAGAAAAUGUGUCAACCAAGUUUGUAGGAGAAAUACUUGAGAUAUGCCCAUCGCUGGUACUGCAAGUUAAUGCCAAAGGCUAUUCUCGAUCACUUCUUGUUGUGGCAAAAUUCGGCCAUUGUGAUAUGGUGGGUGUUCUUAUUGAAAUAGCAAAAUUAGUUCAACACGAAGAUGAAGAGCUCGAAUGUGGGGUAGGAGCCUCCAGGCAGAUGAUUAGGAUGACGAAUGAAGAGAAGCAUACAGCUCUUCGCGGGGCAGUAUUUGAUAAAAAUGUCGAUGUGGUGAAAAUACUGACGUGAGAAGACCCUAAUUAUCCAUAUCUGCAAAUAAUUACAUCAAAAUGCCACUUUGCAUGGCUGCUGAGUAUGAGCACUCUUCUCAUAUGGUGGUUGCCAUUUUGAAAAACUGCACAUCAGUGUCCCAUAUAUGAAGGCCCCAAUAGAAAGACAUGCUUUACAUGCUGCUACAAUGCACAUUGAUUUAUGUAAGUUUAAUCAUACCCUUUCAGUAGGAAUUUCAAUAUUGAUAUCUUUUUUCUGCACGAACUUUGUUCAUUCUGUUUCCAAUAAUCUUGGAGUGUUGUUUUAAUUAAGUUUGCAGUUGGCACAAGGGAAUUAUAUUUAGUUGGACACUAGAGUUUAAAUUCGAGGUUGGAUGUUAAAAAUUUAAUUUGAGUUAUAAUUUUAUUCAUUUUUUGUCUUAGUACUCUCAAAAGAGAAUGAUCGUGCAAUUCAACAGUUAUUUGAAGGAAAGAAGAGUAUGAUCAAAGAAAUAGACCUGUGUGGGUAGACUCCAAUUCAUUACGCUGCAUAUCAUAGAAAUUACUUGAUACUUAAGCUAAUAUUAAAGAUUGAUCGAACUGUACCAAAGAUUGCUGACAAAGGUCGAAAGAUGAUGGCUCUUUAUUUGGCAGCGGGCCGAGGGGAUGCCAGAAUAGUGAGUUGAAGCAAUUAUUUCCAGAAAUCCAGAAUGUUAUGAACUGGUUGAUAACUGGGGAUGGAAUUUUCUUCAUUAUGCUCUGUUUAGUUUUGAAGUUGAAGAAUUAAGAAAUCUUGUAGAUAAUAUGUUAGCAAGUAGCUUUAUGAAUGAGGGGGAUGCCAAGGGGAACACUCUUGUCCAUUUUUUUGCUGCUGUCUAUCGAAAAGAAAUCUUUGACGAUUUAUCUGGAAGAGUAAAGGCAACUAUCAAGCCAUCAACAAGCAUAAUGUUAGCGUUGCAAAAUGUAGGACCAUAGCUAUCUUGAGCUCAAGGUGACUGCUGUGAAACUAAACUGUUACAAUCUAGUUUAUUUUGUUUGAAUUAGUCAAGAAUAAGUCAGUUUAUUUGAAUAAGUCAAGUCAAAGAUGAUUAGCCACGUUGUUAACCACUUCGCUGAUUUUUCUACUCAAAUUAUUCCUAGUUUUGCUCAUGGCAGUUGUACUGCACCUGUAUAUAAACAUUCUUUGUUUAUGAAUAAAAGGCCGCUAGCAAAUUACUUCACUCUUAACUGAGCAAUUGGAGGUGCUAACCCCUCGAAGAGUUAGCAAAUUGUGCUUGUGUCUUGUUUUUUCUUAAAUAAACAACUGUGUGAGUAACAUCUGGUAUCAGAGCUAGGCAUGGAGCUAUGGGAAAGGGUUGAGAAAUUAGAAAAAAACAUAGAGGAGAUUGUUGUUGGCCAGAAAGAACUUUUAUGCCAUGUCAUAGAGAGAUUGGAGAAGUUAAGUCAACAAGUUUCUGGCAAAAGCACUUAUGAAAUGGGAGAGAGUUCAGCUCAAACUCAAAGAAAUUUAGAGGGCAAUCCCCGCAUUCAUCACCAAUCAAGACCACUAGUUUAUUGAGCAGCAUCAUUCCAAAGACUGUCAAGCUUGAUUUUCCUCGUUAUGAUGGAAAUGAUGACCCUAACACUUGGGUAUGUAGAGCUGAAAAGUAUUUUUCCUCCACGACAUCGCAGAAUCAGACAAGGUGACACUAGUUUCAUUUUACUUGGAGGGCGAUGCUCAGCUAUGGUUUCAAAUGCUGGAGCAAGAAAUGCUUAAAAUCACCUGGAAGAUUUCAAGAAUGGGAUAUUUUCUCGAUUUGGCCUCAACCAAUUUGAAGACCAUUUUGGUGAAUUAAUUAAGCUACGGCAAACUGGCACGGUGGUGGAAUAUCAAGGCCAAUUCGAAAAACUGUUGGCAAAAGUUGGGCACUUAUCACAAGACCGAAACGUGAGCUGUUUUCUAACUGGGCUUCGAGAUAUAAUUCGAACUGAUGUGCAAGCUAAUAGGCCAACAACUUUAACCAUGGCCAUUAGGUUAGCAAGAUUAUUUGAAGCUCGUAAUUCAAAUCAAAAGAAACUUACUUCCCAAUCUUUAAGACCCAUAAAUUAAGUAAAAUUUCAAACUCGUGGUCAAGCGUCAUCGACGAUGGUUAAAAGGAUGACAUCUAAGGAACUAGCUGAAAGAAGAUGAAAAGGAUUAUGUUUUCACUGUAAUGACAAAUUUAGCCCUGGACAUGUCUGUAAAAAACUUUUUAUGAUCGAAGCUUGUUGGGAGGAAGUAGAUGGAGACGUGGUGAUGGAAGCUGAAGAGACAACUAAUGAACCUGAAAUUUCAUUCCAUGUGAUGGCUGGCUUUCAAUCGCCAACAACAAUGAGAAUCUGGGGAGGGCUCGAAGGGCACUCUGUGAUAGCUAUGGUCGACUCCGGCAGUACACAUAACUUCAUCAGUUCCGAAAUGGCUCAACGUGCAAAUCUCCAACCAACUACCUACGGCAGAAUGAAUGUAAUGGUAGCUUCAGGUGAAAGACUAAUCAGCCCAGGGAAGUGUUCACAGGUUCCAUUAAAAUUGCAAAAGUUAUUAUUUUCAAUAAACUUUUUCAUUUUACCUUUUCAAGGAUAUGACAUUGUUCUUGGUACUCAGUGGCUAAGAUCUUUAGGGCCUAUUCAAUGGGACUUUGAAAAACUACAGAUGAAGUUUGUUUGGGGAGGCAAAGAAGUAGUUUUAUGUGGGCUCACUAGUUCAUCUCAGAAGAUCAGUGAUAUUGUUCCUGCCACAAAAAUUACAAUAGGACAAAAAGGGGUUGUCGUUCAUAUUAUGCAGGGGGAAGAUGCGAAGGAUGAAAAAGACUUUAUUCCAACACCAGUUCAGCAACUUCUGCAAGGGUACCAGGAAGUAUUAAAUGAACCUAUUGGUCUCCCUCCUCGACGAAUUCACUAUCAUCGAAUUCUUCCUUUACCAGGACGAGGACCAGUUGCAGUAAGACCAUACAGGUAUCCUUAUUUUCAGAAGAAUGAGAUCGAGAAAAUUGUCAAAGACUCGAUGACUGCUGGAAUUAUUUGCCCUAGUACCAGCCCUUAUUCUUCUCCUGUCUUGUUGGUUAAAAAGCAUGAUGGUUCGUGGAGGAUGUGCGUCGACUACCGAGCGUUGAAUCAAAUUACAGUCAAAGACAAAUUCCCAAUUCUCGUGAUUGAUGAACUCUUCGAUGAAUUAGCAGGAGCUCAUUUUUUUUUAACAAAAUUGGAUUUACGCUCAGGCUACCAUCAAGUCAGAACGCACCCAGACGAUGUCGAGAAAACUGCAUUUCGAACACAUGAAGGCCAUUAUAAAUUUUUGGUAAUGCCGUUUGGGCUUACCAACACUCCAUCCACCUUCCAAGCACUUAUGAAUGAGGUAUUCCAAGAGUUAUAACGAAAAUUUGUACUUGUUUUUUUUAUGAUAUACUCAUUUAUAGUAAGGAUUGGAAUACUCAUAUGGAACAUUUUUGAAUUGUUUUUGACAUCCUAAAAGCUAACAAGUUGAGAGUGAAGCUUGAAAAAUGCCGAUUUGGGAAAGAAGAAGUGCAGUAUCUAGGACAUAUUAUUUCAAAACAGGGAGUUGCUGCUGACCCAAGCAAAAUUGAAGCAAUGAUGUCAUGGCCGAAACCAAGCACAUGUAAAGCCUUACGUGGGUUUCUUGGACUCACAGAUUCUUUUCAAAGGAGUCCGGCUUCGGAGGAGGCUUUUCAAAAGCUCAAGAUAGCCAUGACGCAAGCCCCUGUAUUAUCUCUUCUUGACUUUUCAAAAACCUUUAUAGUUGAAUGUGAUGCUUCUGGCCAUGGAGUUGGUGCAAUUUUAUUACAGGAGAGACCUAUUGUGUAUUUCAACCAAGCACUUCGAGGAAAACAUCUUCUUCUUUCUACAUACGACAAGGAGAUACUUGCAUUAGCAUUGGCAAUACAGAAAUGGAGGCCAUACUUACUAGGCAAACAAUUCAUCGUCAGGACUAAUCAUCAAAGUCUUAAACAUCUGUGGUCCCAAAAAAUCGUAACUACAGCUCAACAGAAAUGGCUAUACAAAUUCAUGGGAUAUGAUUUUAAAGUGGAGUACAAGAAGGGAAAAGAGAAUGUCGCGGCUGACGCUCUCUCGCGAAGUCAUGAACAACCACAAGGUGUUGUGUUUGCCAUUUCCCAGUUGCUACCACGAUGGCUUGAGGUGAUUCAAGAGGAGGUUGCUGUUAAACCUAUAUUACAAGACUUGCAAAAAAAAAAAUCCAGCAAAGGGAAGCAUUGGAGCCAUGGAAAUUGAAUAAUGACAAUAUUUUCUUUAAAGAUCGUAUUUAUCUAUUGGAGGAUUUAGAACUUGUGAAAGCCAUUAUCAAAGAAUUUCAUGGAAGCACCCACGAAGGCUAUGUGAAGACUUUACAACGCAUUAAGGAGAAUUUUUAUUAGAAGAACAUGAGGAAGCAGAUUAAAGCAUUCAUACGCAGUUGCGACAUUUGCCAACGCCACAAAACAGAGCAAUUGGCUGCUGCUUGGUUGUUACAUCCCUUGCCAAUCCCGCAACAAGUUUGGGAAGAUUUAUCCAUGGACUUUGUUGAGGGGUUGCCGGCAUCCAACAGUAAGACAACCAUCUUUAUAAUUGUUGAGAGGUUAUCAAAAUAUGCUCACUUUAUUCCUCUCGCCCAUCCUUAUACAGCUGUGGGAGUAGCCAAAUUGUUCUUUGAAAAUGUUUUUAAACUUAAUGGUCUUCCAAAGUCAAUUGUAUGUGACAGGGAUCCAACGUUCACUAGUGCAUUUUGGAGGGAGUUGUUUUCGGUUAAAUGGGACUUCUUUCAAUUUUAGUUCCAGUUACCAUCCACAAACUGAUAGGCAAAGUGAAGUUGUGAACCGAACUCUGGAAAUGUAUCUAAGGUGCUUCACAAGCUCAAAGCCUAAAGAUUCGAUGCGUUGGCUUCCGUGGGUUGAAUAUUGUUACAACACCAGCUGGCAUUCAACAAUAAAACGGACUCAUUUUGAAGUUGUUUAUGGCAGGAGCCCUCCUAGAUUGCUAAGUUACAUUCCUGGUACAGCUCGGGUGGAGGCAGUAGAAAAAGAAUUGCUACAGAGAGACAAAGUUCUUAAGACAGUACAUGAAUGUAUACAGCGUGCUCAGGACAAGAUGAAAAAAGUUUAGGACUCCAAACACAGAGAUAAAGAAUUUAAUGUGGGGGAUUGGAUGUACUUAAAGUUGCAACCUUACAGACAUAUGUCUCUUAUUGGAAGGAAAAAUUUCAAGCUUUCGGCCCGAUUUUAUGGCCCUUAUCAGAUUUUGGAAAGGAUUGGAAAGGUAGCCUAUCGGCUUAAGCUUCCCACUUUAUCCAAGAUACAUCCAGUAUUUCAUGUUUCUAUGCUCAAAGCAAGGAUUGGUCAAGAGUGUGAAGUACUUGAAGAUCUUCCCGUGUUGAAUCAAGAAGAAGAGUUAGUCCCAAUUCCACAGGCGUUACUGGACCAGCGAAUUCGAAAGGGGAAAAAGGAAGUUCUAGUUCAUUGGAAAGGCUAUCUCCAGCAAAAGCUACAUGGGAAGUCCAUGAUUUGAUUCAGGAAAUGUUAUCCAAACUUCAUCCUCGAGGACAAAGAUGUUUUUUAAGGGGGUGGCAGCUGUUACAAUCUAGUUUAUUUUGUUUGAAUUAGUCAAGACUAAGUCAGUUUAUUUGAGUAAGCCAAGUCAAAGAUGAUUGGCCACGUUGUUAACCACUUCGCUGAUUUUUCUACUCAAAUUAUUCCUAGUUUUGCUCAUGGCAGUUGUACUGCACUUGUAUAAACAGCUAUGUGAGUAACAUAACCUUAUUGACACCAGAUUAAUCUCACCCCCAAGACCUAAUUCAGACUCCAAGAUUAAGAAACAAAUCCACACAAGUCGUAACAAUCACCAGAUCAAAGAAAACUAACACAAAGAGCCAAGAACACACAAAGAAUUAAGUGGUUUAGCACCUUUUACAGUGCCUACAUCCACUGGAGAAAACAACUCAGGGAGCAACUUUAUUAAGCUUCAAGGUUACAGAGGUGAUAGCUAGCAAUAUCGAGAACACUCAGAAAAGCUUAACUCUCACUAAAGCUUCUUUAUCACUAUCAAUGUGAUUCCUCUAGACUAAACCAGAACCAGCCUAUAUAUCUGUUGUUGCUGGUUUACAGAUCCAGAAAAUUCCCUCCAAAAUCAACAACCUCAACUAACUGAUCACGGGCUUCUCACGCGCAGCUUAAAGCCUUCCUUAAACGACAACAAGCCAUGCCGUUUAAGCUUUAGAAUAGGCGUGCGUUAACCACGUGACUGUUUAAUGAUUUUGGACGACAUCACCAAGUUGUCGGUUCUGGAUUCUCAGUCAGCUGAAAUGACAUGUCACUUGUUUUCCAACCUUUAAACGACAAGUUGUUUGACAAGUUUGAGUUCAUUUCAACAGUGACUAAUUAUUAUUUUUUGUUUAAAUUGUAUAUUAAUCUAUUAAUUAAUAUUAAAAUGUAAAUUGCAGGAAAAAAUUCAAAAAUUAUGCAAAGAUGUUGACAGAGGACAAUAUUCAAAUGGUGUUGUAUUCAUAAUAUUAAUUUAUUAAUUAAUAUUCACAUCUGUUAGUGGUUGCAUUGAUAGCAAUAUAGCCUUCGCAGCAGCUUUCAUUAUUACUGGUGGUUAAAAACGCAAAAAUGGCACUGCAAUCCUGUGGGGAAAUACAGCUUUUCAGGCAUUUAUGGUAACAGAUACCAUUGUCAUGAUCCUUUCUCUUUCUGCCUUCUUUAUUCACUUCAUAGUAUCUCUUGAGCUUGAAGUAAUCAAAAAAUUCGAUGAUGAUUUGUUGGCUGCAUCCAUUUGGUUCGCCAUCAUUUCCAUGGGAGCAAUGGUGAUUGCCUUCGUUAGGCCUUGCCAUUAUUACUUGUUUAAUUGGCUUAGAGCUAUUUCUUCUUUGCGUUUUUGGUCAUCAGAAGAUAUUUCAGUGAAAAAGAAAAUCAUGGGUAAAGAAAUCGUCACUGGAAAAAGAUAUACUCCAUCUUUUUAGCAAGGCUCGAACUCGAGACUUAAGUUUAAAGGAGGCUACUCCUUAUCGGAUGUUGCAAAUUUGCAACCAUCAGAACUAAUAAGUGUUAUGUUAGCUCCUUUUUUAGACCUGCCCACUGUCACUUGUUUAAUUGUGUUGAGAGUAUUCUUCCUUGUGUUUGGCUUCAUCAAAAGAUAUAUCUGUAAGAAAUCGCUAAAAAGAAAUUGCUUCCUUUCAUAAAAUAAACAUACUAUUCAUAAACGGUUUAUUGCUCACCGUAUUUUCUUUCUUUCCUUUUUUUUUCCCCUCUUUAAAGGUAAUCUUUAUUUCCUAAAUUUAUAUUAAUUUAAGCAAAUCUUAAUUAAAAAAGAGAGUUGGUGAACAAAUAACUUUGCAAUUUUGGAAGAAAUUAAAUAUAAAAAUUUCAUUGUUAAAUGCAUUCGGCGGAUUUUUCGUUUUCAUGGAUGGGGAUAAAAUGAUAAUAUUUUUGUAGAACUUUCUAAAAUAUUCUUACGCUAAAAUCAUAUUGAUAGUAUUUUUUUUUUUUGUUUUAAGAUGUUUUUAGUAUACGUCUGACACCAACUUAAAAUUAAAAUUAAAAUAAAACUCUCAACUUUUUAAUAGCUAAUUAAAAAAAAUAGUGAUGAGAAUGAUCUUGAUAAGAUAAUGCCUACAAAUAUAACAAAAACAGUCAAAUGGUUAAUUUUAAUGACGUAUACCCUCUAAUUAUCAAGUCAAUCACCAGACUUUUAAAAAAAUAAAAUUUAAAGAGAUAAAACCUAGAGAGAGAAAGACAUCUCUAGCGCCUAUCCUCCAAGAUCUUUGUGUCUAAGGUCACUUUCUUCCAAGCCUUCCAUAUACCUUGCUCUAGAGGAGCCCGAAUCAAGUUCAUCGUCACAACUUCAUCGUCACUAGGAUCGCUUGAGUUCUACCUUUCCUCAACUUGAGCUUGGAAUUGAUAAAACAUUCUAUCAAAGUUCUAAGCUAAUCAAUCCACUUUACUUUGGAAUCAAGCUUGCCCAUGUAGCUGGCCAUCAUGAUGUGGAUUGGGAUAAGGAUGAACGAGUACCAUGGCUUCAAAUGAUGAAUCCAUCAAUGGUCUUCUUCCUUGAGAAUGGGCUUCCUCAACCCUAGAACUCACCAUAUUCGAACACAAUGUCAUAAUGCUCAUAGCUCACAUCCAUUCUCUCAGUAGAGUUCCAAGACUUUUAGUUAGAAGUCCUCAUAAACGACGCCAAUUUGCUCGUAAAAUUUGUCCCAGUUUAUUAAAUGGUAAUUUCAUGAACUUUCUCUUUAUUAGAUCAAACUUUGUUGAACUCUUGAUGUGGGCUUCUCAUGUUGUGCCUUUUAUUUUCUGAGUUCAAUUGCACUCAUUUGGAUUUUUUCCUAAGAGUAAGAGGUAUCUAUUUUCUUAGGUGACGGGAUAACCUUAAUUAGAUAAUGUGCUAUAAACAUAAGAAAAACAGUCAAAGGGCCGACUUUAGUGGCGUAAACCCUUCGACAAUCAGGUUAGUCAUAAAAUUUUUAGAGAGAUAAAAGUUUAAAGUGAGAAAAUUUAGAUUUUUUGUUAAAAGUUUUUCACUUUUGAAUGUAAAGAAAAUAUUUGACAUUUACUCAAAUUAUCAAUGCAAUUAGAUUUUUUGUUAAAAGUUAUUAAUAAACAAAAGUAAUUAAAAACAUAAUUAGUCGUUAAUACCCAAGUAACUUAACAGAUCCUAGUUAUAUAUAGUUGAUUUACUCAACCAUUUAGCAAACAAUAUUUGUUUUCUCUCAAUUAAUUGGUGAAAACUAUAAACGAAAGAGAGAGACGGAACACUUAAGCAAAACCAUCCAUCUAAUUACACCAACAGAACAAGAACCUUCAUUGCUAAAAUGUGAACACACACACACACAAAACCUUCACUUUUAAUCCAUUUAUUGUAUAUGUGAAGCUGUUGAGUUAGUUGUAUUCUGUUAAGAUAGUUGCUGAUGAGGUGGCAUCGUAUGGGCCAGCAUGUGGUAAAUUAGUUAUGACUAGGAGCUGUAUAAAAACACGAUAUUAAGGCUGAUCAUUGAGCAUUCUUUCUAGUUGAGUUAAGAGGCUAUUACUAAGAGUUGAGUUCUUAGUAGAAGGGGAUUUGUUCUCUGUAAUCUGUAGUCCAAUGUAAUCAACUAUACACAAUAAAGUUUCACGCCCAGCUUGGGUUUUCUUCAGCCAUAGAUGUAGGUACUCUGGUACCGAACCACGUAAAUUCUUCUUCAUUGUUUAUCAUUUGUUUUUGUUUCUUCCUCUGUUCUUGGUUUGUCUUUGUGAAUCUUGGUUGUUAGAUAAGUGUUGUUAUCUUCUUUUCUUAACAAAUUGGUAUCAGAGCUACGAAGCACUCUGUUCUUGAUCUUCAAGGAUGGGAACCACUAGAUUUAACCUUGAGAAAUUCAAUGGAGAAAACGACUUCUACCUAUGGAGUCUAAAAAUGAGGGCCAUCUUGAUUCAACAGGGCUUAGACAGUGCCCUUGAUGGUGAGGAAGAACAGAAGUCCAAGAAAGAGAGGGAGGAAGGCUCUUCAAGUUCAUGUGGAGACUUGAGGACCUUAAACAAUAAAGCCCACAGUACGAUCAUCCUUCACCUGUCUGAUGAGGUACUGAGAGAAGUAGCAAAAGAGAAGUCAGCAUCUGGGUUAUGGGCAAAAUUGGAAGAGCUUUUCUUAAAGAAAUCUCUGGCUAAGAGGUUGUACAUGAAAAUGAAGCUUUACACAUUCUCAAUGAAAGAGGGGAUAGCUAUAAGAGACCAUGUUGAUGAGUUCAACAAGCUCAUACUCGAUCUUGAAAAUGUUAAUGUCAUGCUUGAAGAUGAAGAUAUGGCUCUCAUCUUCUUAAGCUCCUUACUAAAUUCUUAUGAACACUUCGUGGAUACUCUACUCUAUGGUAGGCAAACCCUCACCUUAAAAGAUGUCAAGAAUGCUCUUGAAUCUAAAGACUUGAAGAAAAGAGCAGAUGACAAAGAUCAGAUCACUGGGGAUGGAUUAGUUGCCAAAGCAAAGACAGAAAAGAAGAUGUACAACGAUAAGAAAAACAAAAAUCAGAAAGAGAAGACUGAUAAGAUGAAGAAGAAAAGAAAAUGUUACUUCUGCCAAAAGGAGGGACAUUAUAUAAAAGACUGUUUUGAGAAAAAGAAGCUAGAGAAACUACAAAAGGAGACAAGUGGGAAAGUUGAUAUCGUGUCAAUAGAUGAAUGAGAGUCAGAGGAUGCAGAUGUUCUCAUUGCUGCAAAUAAGAAGUUUUCUGGUGAGUGGAUACUUGACUCAGGGUGUUCUUUCCAUAUGUGUCCCCAAAAGGAUUUCUUUGUAACCUUUGAAAAGGUUGAUGGUGGAAGAGUUUUACUUGGGAAUAAUCUUGCUUGUAAGGUUGCUAGUAUAAGAUCAGUUAGCAUUAAAAUGCAUGAUGGUAGAGUCAUAAGCUUAGAACAAGUCAAAUAUGUUCCAAAGCUUAAAAGAAACCUUAUAUCCUUAGGGAUGAUAGACCAAUUGGGCUGUAGUAUAAAGGCUGAAAAUGGAGAACUACAGAUCAUUAAAAAGGAUACAGUCUUAAUGAAAGGUUGUAGAAGAAAUGGACUGUACAUUCUUAAUGCUCAAUAGUGUUACCUGGGGUUAACAGUGUAAGUGGUGAUAAAACCAGACUAUGGCACAUGAAGUUAGCUCACAUGAGUGAAAAAGGUUUAAGGGAGCUUAGUAAACAAGGAUUGCUAGGUACUUAUCAAAUCUCACCACUACCACUAUGUGAAAAGUGUGUGUUUGGCAAAGCAACUAGGUAAAGAUUUAAUCCAGGAAAGCAAGAAACCAAAAACACCAUGGAUUAUAUCCAUUCAGAUUUAUGGGGACCCUCUCAGGUUUUAUCUCAUGGUGGUGCCAGAUACUUCAUUACAUUUAUAGAUGACUUUUCUAGAAAAGUCUGGGUUUAUGUACUAAAGCACUAGAGAAGUUUAAGGACUGGCUAACUCUAAUGGAAAACCAGACAGAGAGGAGAGUGAAAAGGUUAAGAACAGACAAUGGGUUAGAAUAUUACUCAAAUGAGUAUCUGGGCAGAAGGGGAUAGCAAGGCACAAAACUGUAAGGCAUACACCUCAGCAAAAUGGGUUGGCAGAAAGGAUGAACAGGACCCUAGUUGAAAAUGUGAGGUGCAUGUUGUUCAAUGCAAAUAUGUCCAAACAUUUCUGGGCAGAAGCUGUCACUACAGCAGCUUACUUGGUCAAUAGGAGCCCUUCAUCUGCCCUGCAGUUCAAGACUCCUCAGGAAGUUUGGUCAGGAAAGCCACCAGACCUCAGCAAUCUCAGAAUCUUUGGCUGCCUUGCUUAUGCUCACAUUAACCAAGGAAAGUUAGAACUAAAGGCCAUAAAGGGUUACUUCAUUGGGUAUCCAGAGGGUGUUAAAGGGUUUAAAAUUUGGUGCAUUAAUAGAAAACCAUUUAGAACCCUUAUAAGCCGAGAUUUUGUGUUUGAUAAAGAAUCAAUGCUGCAUCAAAAGGUAGAAACUGAGCUUACAGCAACUGAUUUGGAUAGAAAUGAGGAAGACAACAACCAGAAGGUGGAGACCAGUGAGGAAUCUGAGGUCACAGAGAAGGAUUCCAGAACUAAUCAGAGAGUACACAACAACUUGAAAUUGGAUGAUUAUCAACUGACAAGAGACAGACAGAUGAGAGUCAUUAAGCUACCAAAAAGGUAUGGCAUAGCUGAUAUGGUCUCUUAUGCCCUAGCAGUAGCUGAAGAAGUUAUUGGUGAAGAGCCUACAAACUACAAACAAGCCAUGAGCAGUAAAGAUAGAAAAAAAUGGUUGGGUGCUAUGAAUGAAGAAAUCAUCUCACUCAAGAAAAAUAACACAUGGAUUUUUGUCAAGAAGCUGGUAGGAUGCAAAUGGAUCUAUAAAAUUAAAAAAGGGACUGCUGAUGGAGAGCUUCCUAGACAUAAGGCAAGAAUUGUGGCUAAGGGGUUCACACAGAAGCAUGGAGUGGACUUUAAUGAGGUAUUCUCCCCUGUUGUUAAAUAUAGUUCCAUAAGAGUUCUUUUGGCAAUAACAGCAUUCAAUGACUUGGAAUUGGAUCAAAUGGAUGUGAAAACUGCCUUCUUGCAUGGGAGUUUAGAAGAAAAAAUUCUCAUGGAACAACCAGAGGGGUUUGUUGAAGAGGGGACUAAAGAUAUGGUAUGCUUGCUGAAGAAGAGCUUGUAUAGACUGAAACAGUCUCCCAGGCAGUGGUAUUUGAGGUUUGAUGAGUUCAUGAUCAGCCAUGAAUUCUGCAAAAGUCAAUAUGAUAGCUGUGUGUAUUUUAAAACCUUACCUUCUGGAGAUGGCCUUUACCUCAUCCUCUAUGUUGAUGACAUGCUUAUUGCAUGUAAAAGAAGAGAGGAGAUAGAAAAGCUAAAGUUGGAAUUGAAUUCAGUUUUUGAAAUGAAAGACCUGGGGACUACUACAAGAAUUCUUGGGAUGCAGAUUGUGAGGGACAGAAAUUCAAGAACUUUGUUCCUUACUCAAGUUUUAUAUGUUAAAAGGGUUCUUAACAGAUUUAAAAUGAGUCAUGCAAAACCUGUAUCAGUACCAUUGUCAGCACACUUCAGACUUUCAAAGCUCCAAGAACCAGAAGAGGAUAGAGAUAUUGAACAUAUGAAGACAAUGCCUUAUUCUAGUGCAGUUGGCAGCAUUAUGUACUCCAUGGUUUGUAUAAGGCCUGAUAUAGCUCAUGGAGUAGGAGUUGUUAGCAGGUUUAUGGGGAAUCCAGGUAGAGAACACUGGAAUGCUGUCAAGUGGUUAUUAAGGUAUCUAAGUGGUACAUCUAAUCAUGGAAUUUUGUUUGGAAGUUCUGAAGCUAAAGUAUGCCAAGUAUCAGGGUUUGUAGACUCAGAUUUUGCUGCUGAUAUAGAUAAGAGAAGGUCUAUUACAGGGUAUGUUUUCAUUUUGAAUGGAGGGGCAGUAAGUUAGAAAGCAUCUCUCCAGUCAGUUGUUGCUUUGUCCACAACUGAAGCUGAGUACAUUGCAUUGACAGAAGCAGUAAAAGAAGCAAAGUGGCUGAGUGGACUAGUGUCUGAGUAUGGAUUGAAACAGGAUUCAGUUUGUAUUGGCUGUGACAGCUCCAGUGCAAUUCAGCUCAGCAAGAAUCCCAAGUAUCAUGAAAGGACAAAACACAUUGAUGUUAGGCUGCAUUUUAUCAUGGAUGAGAUUGCUAAUGGUGUGGUUAAUGUUGUCAAGGUUCCUACUUUAACAAAUCCAGCUGAUGUUUUAACUAAAGCAGUUCCCGUAGUCAAGUUUAGAAACUCUCUGAACUUGAUUGGUGUUGAUAGUUUGUGAAUCAAGCUAGUAGUUGCUGAAGAUAUAAGUGAAGUUUUAAAUUUACAGAAUGAACUAAGGUGGAGAUAUGUGAAGCCGUCGAGUUAGUUGCAUUCUGUUAAGAUAGUUGCUGAUGAGGUGGCAUCGUGUGGGCCAGCAUGUGGUAAAUUAGUUAUGACCAGGAGCUGUAUAAAAACACGAUAUUAAGGCUGAUCAUUGAGCAUUCUUUCUAGUUGAGUUAAGAGGCUACAACCUGAUUUAGACAUAGUAUUAAGGAUGUUCUGGGUAGAGCUCAAGCAUGUUGGAUGCAUGAUGUAUUAUGGAUAUGCAUUUUAAUUGUGUUUGAGGUGCAUUGUGUUCUCCCUCUUCGUCAACAUGAACUGUGAAAGUAAAUGGUUUGUUCCGUUAUUUAUUGUAACUGACUAUCUAUAAAUUGAUCCUCAAGGCUCAAUUAUUUAUUAUAAUAGAUUAUCUAUAGAUUGAUCUUCAACUUGUUACGGAUUAGCUGUUGUAUUAUUAUAUUAUGUUGGAAUGAAAUUAUAUUUCCUUUGUCCAACAAAAAAUAAAAAUCGAGAUCAUUUGUAUUCACUUGUUGAAUUAACGAAAGUAAUGCUUUGUAUCAGAAAGGAAAAAAAAUAAAGAUUUGGUGGUAUAUAUUUACAUGACGAGUCCAGCUACGUUGCAUCGGCCGGGGCUUUACAUGAACGCAUAUGAAACAAACGCCUAAACUUUAAUUAUUUUUUUUGGAAGUAAAUCUUAUUUAAAUAUCUAAUAUAUUAUAAAUUGAACUGAUAAAAUUUAAUGAAAUAUACUGAACAUACAUAAACACACAUUAUGAAAAAAAUAGGUUUCAAUAAUUAAAUUUAACAUAAUUAUUAAAUAUGUCAACAUAAUUUUUUUCUCUAUUGGGUUAAGUUUAAAUUCUUGACUCAUUUACCCAGUUAAUUAAAUAAUGAUUUUGUGAAGGAUGAACAUUUAUAUGGUAUUUUAUUUUAUGAAAUUAUAAAUGGAAUUACAACAUGAGUAGUAUAAAUAUGUAAUAUUUUAGUAGACUUAUAUAUUUUCAUAAUAUCAAUAUAUAAAAAUUGAAUUUUUGUCAAAUAAGUGUGAAAUCUUUUAUAUAUAUUGUGUAAAUAAAUAUUAAUAAGGUUAUUAGAUAUUGUGACACAAUUGCCCAAUUAUUUAAUGGAUGAUGUCGUGUCACUCAUUUAUUUUUAUUUUUAUUUCAUAUUUAAUAUUUUAACGUAAUUAUUAAAUAAAUAAUGUUUGAACCGAUUUAAAUUUGACACAACUAGAUAAUAAUCCGCUCACCGAUUUCGCCACCUCUAAAUAUAAACAACCAAGUCAACAACUUGCCAUUUAACUGCCCGUACAGAAAUCUAUAUGUUAAUUAUUCCAAGCAAUUACUUAGGAUUCUGCCACGUAUAUGAAACAGAACCCAACUGGCCGUCUGUGGUUCGUCAAUUAAAUGGUGAUUUCUUUUGGGAGCUCGACGUGGCAAGAAAGUGUUAUCAGAUCAGUAUGGGCUCGAUUUCUUUUGUAAAAAACUAGUUAAUGAUACCAUCAGUCAUCACCACUUAGUACUUAGCACAACUGAAGCACGUGACCUGCCAGCGGCUCCGGAUUUCCUUUUUUUGAAAAAAUUUAUUCAAUUCCUUUCAUACUAGUAUACUACCAAGAUCACCCCCUACUAACUCAUUUUACAUAAUUAUACUCUAAAAAGGUAAAAAUAUUCUAAAUAAAAAAAUUCUCCACUUUAUUUUCAAUUUACAUAACAAAGUUGAAUAAUAAAUCGAAUUUUGGUUUGUAGGCUUAUAACUCAAUAGUGCUUGUGAAAGAAUGAGUUUAAGUCUUAUAAAAUUUAUUCUAUUUAAAUAACAAUAGAUUUCUCCCCACGUAUUAAUGGAAUAAAUUUUCAAACUUAAUGUUUAGUAGGCCUUUAGAAUGUACUACGAGUAUCUAUAUCGAGAAUUUUAUCUAAUUAGGUCUUUCUAUAAUGCCGUGAUUAAAAUCACAACAUCGAUACCAUAUUUAAACGUUAAAUUAUGUAAAUAAACAUAAGACAUGUAAAUUUAAAUAAAAAUUAAAAAUCAAAAUUAAUUGUAAAAUAAAAUAUAGAUUAUGUAAAUAGAAUAUAAGACUUAUAAAUGGAGGGUAGAAUAAGAAAAUUAAUAUAUGAGUAGUAAAUUAGUGUAUCAAUGGUAAACAAAACAAAAACUUAUAAAUAUAAUAUAAAAACUUGUAAAUCAACAAUAAGUUUAAAAUAAAACAUCAAUUAAGUAAAUAAAAUAUAAGACUUGUAAAUGGAAUGUAAAACAAGUCAGUUAAUAUACAAGUGGUAAAUUAGAGUGUUAUUGGUAAACAAAACAAAAACUUAUAAAUAUAAAAUAAAACUUAUGAAUCAACAUUAAGUGUAAAAUAAAAAAUAAAUUAUAUAAAUAAAAUAUAGGACUUGUAAAUGCAAGGUAAAACAUGUAAAUUAAUAUAAGAAUUAUUAAAAAAAUUAAAAAUGUAAAAUACAAUCUCAUUAUAAUAAUGAUUACUUUUUAUUGAUUUAUUUUUUCUAAAUUGAAUAAUGAUAGUUUUGGGUUUAUGUAAUACAUAUGAUGAUUAAGGAUAAAACUUAUUUUUAAAAUUAGAUUUUGAAAAACUAUUUUUUUUUUUCAUAUUUUUCAAAGUUGCUUGUAGGAUAAGGUGAUUUUACAUCAUUUUAAAUAUUCUUGAUAGCAACCACAGAUGACCUUUAAAUACAAGUAAGAAGCAAAAUUUAAAAUUACAUAAAAUAUGUAUAAAACAUAAAAUUAGAUACAAUUUUAUUGAUAUAUUAUAUAUAUCUAGUAAUAUCAGAAUAUCUUUUUAUUUUGUUUUGACUUAAUGCAUUCAAGAAAAAUAUUUUGUUUAAUUAACCUCUGUAGUAAACAAUACUAUGAUGAAAAAUUAAAAAAAAAUUAUGAAUGUCAUAGAAUGAAUAUAGAAUUUAUAGUUAAACCAAUUCAAUAAAACUUAUUCUAAUUGUUUUCAAUUACAAUUUUUUUUUAAAUUGAUGACUCACUUUGUUCUUUGUUUAAUUAAAUUAAAUAAAUAAACUAAUUUUAUUUAAUGAAAGUUUAAUAUCAAUAUCAAAGUUUUAUGUUAUUUUAUAAGUAUUUGUUUUGUUUGUAAUUUCAAAACACUAAUUUACCACUCAUAUAUAAUAUAUACUAAUUUUAUCUUUUAUUUAAUAAUUUUUAUAUAUAAUUUACAAAAUUUAUAUUUAUCAUGAUAAUAAUACCGUAAUUUUAAUCAUAACAUCGUAAAAUUUUCCAAACUUCAAAUCGUAUAUUUUUAGGUUAUCGUAAACAAUUUAAAAAAAUUAAAUAGCGGCAUUUUAGUAUUAACAUAUUUUUUAAUAUUUUGAUGUUGUAUGGAGCAUAUUUAUAGCAAUGACCUCUUUUCGCGGCUCCCACUUCUUCUUUUCAUUCACUCGUCCAGUAGUAUAGCUACCACGAAAAAUGGAACUGCGAGAAAUAGAAGAACGGGAAAACGAUGUCGUUUUACCGGAGAGGAAGACAAAGAUGAAAACGAGAAAGAACAGAAAGCGAGAGAAAAGAAAAGAAAAACUCAAAGAAGAAGCUGAAGAAUUAUUGCAGGACCCUCUCGAUGUUUUUGGUAGAGACAUAAUGUUGAAGAUACUUAAAAGCCUAAACGCACGCAGCGCGGCACUAUCACUUCUUGUAUCUCGUGCUUAGAACGGCGUCGCUUGCAGCGACACACUUUGGACUUCCAAGGUUUGUGUCCUUUUCUUUUUUUUUAGUUAAUAAAUUUAGUUCUUCCCAUGGAGAUUGGAGAAUAUGAGAAUUGGGUAAAUCUAAUAUCACUACUGGGUUUUUGUUUUAACUAUUUUUGGUUGCUGUUUGAAAUAAUCAUAUUAUGAAUACAAUUGGAUUUUCAUGUCAGUUUAAGCUUUUCAUGUUAUAAUUGAGCUUUAUGUGCCUACUUUACACGGUUUCUUGUCCACAAGGGGCAUUAUAUGAAUUCUCGACUUAUUACUUGACUCAAUUUACUACUCAACUUGACUUUCUUGACCAACAUAAAUGGUUUGAAAGUCAUAAUGAAGAUGAGUGUUCUCGACUUAAAGCUGAGUAUUUUUUGUGUAGGAUCUUUUUGCCUUUGCUCACCUCUCAAGGGUAUAUUUAUGUAAAGUGGGCUAGUUGGGGUAUAUUGUUGUAUAUUUUAUUUUUUAAAAUAGGGCUCACGCCGCUCUUACCACUGCAACUAGACCUUGGCUAUGCCCUUGGUAUAUUGGUAUAUUUUAUAUACAAACUGAAUUGUGAAUGCCAAUGCAGGAUUCUACUGCCUUGCGGCCUAAGUUGCUUAUUUAUUCUGGCUGCAUGAUUCGUGAAGUUUUUUUUUUAAUUUAUUUAUUUAACGUCAAUUAUUUUCUCAGCUUUAUUUGAAACACAACUGGAAGAGAAUAUCUACCUGGAUUUUAUUUUUCAGUUCUCGAGGUAACUCGGUGGGUCAUGCUUCUACUUUGAAGAGUAACCGAGUAAGGAUAAUUUACUUGAAUUUCCUGUCCAUUUAAGUGCAAGGAACUAUGAUUUGGGAAAGCGCACAUACCUCGUUUAGCUCUAACCCGGGGGUUACCAAAGCUGGCCGCAUAUUCGUUGUCUGUAAUGGAUGGCAAACGUGUGAGUGCUUCUCCCCAUCUCUCUUUUGAUUCGCUCAUUCUUCAUAUGCACGUGCGCACAAGCUUUCACUAACUAUUCUAUUCUUCAUUUUUAUGAUUCUGGUAGACUCGUAUCACGAAAGAAAACCUUUGUGAUCAUGUUUGGGAGUUUCAUUUUAAUAAGGUAUGUAAUUUUAGUAUAGCGCUUGUUAUAAAGAAAAUAUAUGAAAUUUACUCAAAUUAUCAGUGCAAUUAGAUUUCUCAUUAAAAGUUGUUAAUAAACAAAAGUAAUUAAAAACACGAUCAGCUGUUAAUGCUUGUGUAACUUACACAGAUCCCAGUAUAUAUUCGGCGGACAUGUUCGACUGUUAGGCAAAUAGUUUUUGUUUCCUCUCAAUUAGUUGAUAAAAACUAUAAACAAAAGAGCGAGACAGAGAAUAUUGAAGCAAAACCAUCCAUCCAAUUACACCAGCAAACAAAAGUGAAGAGCAUUUAUUGUUAAAAUGUGAAUUACUUAACUAAAAACCUUAGUUUGCUUGAACUUUAUGUAUACGUAUAUAUAUUACACACACUCAUAUAUAUAAUCUCUCUAGUACGGGUGUGGUUUAAUAAAGUUGUGCAUAACGUUAUGAAACUGCACAUCUUAAGAGCGUGUUCGCAUUAAAACAAAUGGCAUCCACACCUGAAAAUGAUUACAUAUAUAUGUGUGUGUGUGUCCAGAUGUAUCUUUUAAUUUAUUCAACUUAUAAGGAUAUAAUAGUGAGCUAUGACAGACAAUUACACAAAUAUUUAGACGAAUGUACAGAUAAAUCCAUUGCAGUCAACAGAUAAACGAAUAAUUGAUUUCUCAUACCGACGUGCUAGGAAAAAUAUCAGUAGACUAAAAUAUCAUGUAAUGAUUUAUACACAUCCUUUUAAUAUGUACACGAUCAAUUCAGAUGUCGCCAGGGAAUUUUUGUUCUUGCUAGGUAAAUCAUAAAUUUACUCCCAGAAGACUAAUUAAAUGCAUUCAAUUUAGGUUCAAAAUACAACUAGCAAUGUAACAUAUCCACAUUAGAAAAUGAUUCAUGGUCACCUAUUUGCCAAAUCUUACCGGUCUAGGUAUAAAAUCUGAAAGAUGAAUACAUCAGCAACACGAAACACAACCAAAUGAACACAACCACCACAUAGGGUGGAAAAAAAAAAACACAUAAACCUGAAAGUAUACAUACUACUUGAUCUAGACAUGGUAUUAGAGAUGUUCCCGAUAGAGAUUGAGUCUGUUGGAUGCAUGAUUAAGAGAUGCUCUUUAAUAGAGUCUCUGAUGCAUUGUGUUCUCCUUAUUCGUUAGUGUGAAAUGCGAAAGUAAAAAGUUUGUUCAACUAUUUAUUAUAUCAGAUUAUCUAUAGAUUGAUCUCCAAGUCUGUUAUGGACUAGCUGUUAUACUAUUAUGUUGUUGUUGGAAUGAAAUUAUAUCUCUGUGAAAAAAGAAAGAAAUUUUUUUUGGCACAUGUGUAUUCACCCAUUAGUAUUAACGACAUUAAUUCUUUUUAUACAAGUAAGAGGGGGAGAAGAGAGAUCUGCUAGAAAGAUUAAUAUAUUUACAUGACGGGUCUAGCUACGUUGCGUCGAACGGUGCCUUACAUGACGCAUAUGUAAUAGACACCUGAACUUUAUAAUUCUCGUUUUGGAAGCAGAUCUUAUUUAAAUAUCUAAUAUACAAUAAAUAGAACUAACAAAAUUUGAUAUAAUCCAUUUAGCAAACAUGAACGAAAAAGUAGAUUUAAAUUAUUAAAUUUGACACGAUAAUUAAAUAGGCCGUACUCUUUUCAACACAAUUUUUUGGCUUCUUGAAUUAGCUUUAUAUUCUUGGGAUAAAGAUCCUUUCCUAAUCUGAGCUCUCAUGAGCUUUUAAAAAUCUUGUGUCAUCUGUCUUUAAGUGAUAGUGUAUGGGUAUGAUAGUGAUAGUGUAUGGGUAUGAUUUAAUUUUUUUACUUUUUUUUAUUUAUUAACUACCAAUCACUCACAUAUAUUUGUGCUCAGGAGGAGAUUAGAUCUAGAAAGAAUCAUAAUCCUAUAUUCUUGGCCUAUCUACUCAGUUAACGAAACAAUUACUUAUGAAGGAUAAACAUUUAUGUGGUGUUUCAUUUCAUAAAAUUCUAGAUGGAUUUAAAACUUGAAUGGUGUAAAUAUGUAAUAUUUCAAUAUAUAUGUAUAUUUUUUAUGAUAUCAAUAUAUAAUAUUAUUUAGAUAUAUAAAAAUUGUAAAAUUUUUAUUAAAUAGGAGCAAAAAUAAUUGAUAUAAAUCAUGUUAAAUGAGUAUUAAUUAAAUGGAUUAUUAGGUAUGUCGCGACACAAUUAUUAAUUAAUGAGUUACAUUGUGUCAAUUGUUAUGUUUCAUAUCAAACUUAAAAUUUUAAUAUUUUAACACAAUUAUUAAAUAAAUAUCUAAAUCACUCUAAAUUUCACAUGGCAACGAAAACCACUUUGUCAUCAGUUCUGCCUAGGGAUGGCAAAUUGGUCCAUUCAAAUUGGAUAUCCAUAUAUCCAAUUCAAUUGGAUUGGAUAAUAUCCAUCUAAAAUCUUAUUGGAUAUAGAUAUGAAUAUUUUUAAAAAUAUCCAAUUAGAUAUUGGAUGGGUAUGGAUAUUUAAUGGAUAUCCAAAAUCCAAUUAAUUUAUCCAUUUAAAGUUAAAAAAAUUUAUAUUAUUAAACUAAAAUAAAAAAAAAACAACAAAAUCUAAUUUUCUCUUAUAUUAACUAGUGAAAAAUUUAAAUUCCUCUUAUAUUAUAAACUAAAAUUUCCAAAAUUACCUUUUAAUUUUUUAACUUAUUUAAUACCAUUAAUAAUUAUUAUUUUAUUUUAUUGAUUUAAUAUUAUAAAUGGAUCUCCAUCGGAAAGCCGCGGUCCGGCGACCUCGCCAGAAGGUCGCCGGACCUCGCCGGAAAUUGCCCGGACUUCGCCAGACCGUCGUCACCAACAACCGAACCGCCGUCAUCGGCCACCGGACCGCCAUUUUAUUAUAUAUAUAUAUAUAUAUAUAUAUAUAUAUAUAUAUAUAUAUAUAUAUAUAUAUUAUUACUAAUAUAAAUAGUUUAAUAGCCAAAUUUGAUAUUAGAAUUUUAAUUAUUUUAUAUAAUAAAAAUAAAAUAUCGAUGGAUAUCUAUGGAUCUUCAUAACUAUAUGGAUAAAAUUCAUAUCCAUAUCCAAUAUUAAAUACUGAAUAUAAAUAUAAAUAUAUUUAAUAUAGAUAAUUAUAAAUUUGUAUUUGGAUAGAUAUUAUCCAUCCAUAAUCAAAUAUUUGGCAUCCCUAGUUCUGCCACAAACAUCCAAGUCAUGGACUUGCUGUUUUGCCAAGCAAUCACUCAGUAUCUUGCCACGUAUUCGAGUCAGAGUCCAAAACGCCCAAUUUUUGUCCUUCAAUUGAAGGAUGAUUUUGUUUUGGAACUCGGCGUGGCAAGAAUGCACUAUCGGACCAUUAUUAACUAUGGGCGUGUUUGGCAGCCCUCAUUAUAUAGUAUUAGAACUCCUCAUAGCAUUAAAGUCUUAGAAUAUCAUAUUUGGUGACUACUCCUCACUGUAUUGUAAUGUGGUCAAAAGAAGCUUGUAAUGCGGUCAAACCCGCAUAAAAUAAACCCGUGUGAGAGUUGGGUUUACGCGGGUUUGUAAUUGUUUGAGACAAAAAAAAAAUUCGCUUUCAUUUUCGUUCUCCUUCUCUGUGUAGUGCCUUGCCUGCACCUCCACACAUCCACUCCACAAAUCUCAACUCCACACCACCAGUGCCUCAAACACCACCAGCUCCAUGUGAUCUGCCUUUAUACCGCCACUGUCUCACGAUACCACCGUGACACCACCAGCUCCAUUGCCUUCGCGAUCUACCUCCGCGAUGUGCGAGACCACUGCGCGGCAUGCCUUCGCGACACUCCACCACCAUGCUCCACUGCCUUCAUCAUGCCGUCGUGCCUUCGUCAUUUUUGAAACUGUGAGGGUCUUAUCUUUGUGUUAGUAUGUUAGAUCAUGCGUGCUUUUUUUGUGCUUGGUUUGAUUAUUUUUCUUUUAAAGAAAAGGAUCAUUUGUUGUUUUUGUGAUUUAUUUAGUUUCUAAUAUAUCUUCAGUUAAGAAAAUAGAAUGGAGUCUUCUUGUUGCCUUUAAAUUAAAUUGGUAUUUUGUUUGAUUAUGUUAUUGUGAGGCUUUGAUUGAGAUUUUGUUACUUUAUGUUGUGAAUGGAUGAGUUUAUAGAUUUAUGCCCGACAAUUGUUUGAUGAAUUGUCUAAAAGAAUAAGAAUUUGGUGCUUUGCUUCACUAAUUGUGGCCUAAAAAUUAUUACUACAUGUAGAAGUAUUUCCAAUCCGUAGUUGACUUUACAUUAAGAAAAAAUUAUCCUAAUUGUUUGGCUAAAGUAUUUUUGUGGGUGGAUUUUUGGCAAAUGUAGCUUCAGCCUUCAUGUGUAAACCAAAAAAAAAAAUAAAUAAAAUCUCGCAGGAUUGUACUUCAGUAAUGCAAUACCAAAGCACAAGAUGAAGUGUUAUUGUCUCCUGAAUGGUGAUUUUUGGAAUGAAAUAGAUGGCUUAUAAAAUUUGCAAUUAUUCUUGACAACUAGUACUUUCGAUUCUGGAUUUGCAAAUUAAUAGUAAUAAACAUCAAGUAAUGGUAGAGAAAUUAAUAUUGAAAAAGGAACUUGAAAAUCAUUAAGAUGAAAUCUUAUGAAUUUACUUUAGUUCUUGAAAGGAAGUAUUGAGGCAAAACAGAAUUACAGAACGGAGCUAUUCUAGAGCCAUUAAAUUUAGAAAAGAACCAAAAAAAAAAUUAUGAUAUUAAAAAUUUUUUUAUGAAGAAUUAUGAUAUUAAAAAGUUAUAUUAAAAAAUAAUGUUAAAUUUCUCAAUUUUAAAAAUUUUGAUAUUUAGUAUUUUUCUAAGUAUUAAUAAAUAUUAUUUUUUAAAAUAAGUGAUCAAAAUUAAUUACUAAAAAAUUAAUACAAUACAAUGCAGCACCAAACAUAGUAUAACUAAAAAUUAAUACAAUACAGUGUAAUGACAAAUACUAUACAACAUUAUUAUAAUACAAUGUUAAUGCAAUACAGUAUAAUACAAUACACCUACAUUAAAAUAAUGCAAUACAGCAUAAUAUAAUACAGUGUGCCAAACGCACCAUAUCAUCAUUGCAGAGCAGUACCUAAACCACGUGACCUCUCACCGCAUUUUUUUAAAAAAUAUAUAUUUAUUCCUUGUAAAAUACCGAUAACACCCCCCGACUGUCUCAUUUUACAUAAUCAUACUCUAAAAAGGCCAAAAUAUCCUAAAUAAAAAAAUAUUCUCAACUUUAUUUUCAAUCUUCAUAAAAAGUUGAAUAAUAAAUCAAGUGAUAUAAAAAAUCGAGUAAAAUAAUAAGUAAAAAAAAUUAGCUUUUUAACUUGUAGGCCUGUAGUUCAAUAAUAUCUACGAGAGAAUGAGUUUGAGCCACGUAAAUUUUAUUAUAUUUAAAAAAUAGUAAAUUUGUCGGUCGUAUAUUUCUACAUAUUUUUAUAUUUUGAUUUUUUUUGGAGUUAUUGCAAUUACCUCCUUUUUCGCGGUUUCUGGUCAUUCCUUUCAUUCGCUUACUCUGUAGUAAUAGCUACUACCAGUCUACCACACAGAAUGGAACUGCGAGAAAGAGAAGAACAGGAAAACGAUGUCGUUUUACCGAAGAAGAAGAAGACGAAGAUGAAACUGAGAAAGAAGAGAAAUCGAGAGGAAAGAAAAGAAAAACUCAAAGAAGAAGAAACUGAAGAAUUAUUGCAGGACCCACUGGAGGCUUUUGGUAGAGACAUAAUGUUGAAGAUACUUCAAAACCUAAAAGCACACAGCGUAGCACUGACUCUCCUUGUAUCCCGUGCUUGGAACGGCGUUGCUUCAAGCGACACGCUUUGGACUCCCAAGGUUCAUUUCCUUUCCUAUUCUUUCUUUUUUUUCCCCAAUCUUUUUGCCUCGUACCUGAAUUUAGGUUUGUUUCUUUUUUUUUUAAAUUUAAUUAAUUAAUUUAGUGCUUUCUUCGGAGAACAUGAGAAUUGGGUUUUUUUAGUUUCACAAUUGGGUUUUUGUUUUAAGUAUUUUUGGUUGUUUGAAAUAAUCAUAUCAUGAAUACAAUUGAAUUUGAAUUUAAGCUUUUCAUGUCAUCAUCGAGUUUUAUGUUCCUAGUUUACAGGAAUUUGUAUUCAGCGCUGAGCUGGGGUUUUUGUUAAUCUUUUAGAAAGAUAAGAAUAUAAAAUUAAUUAAAUCUUCACCUUAAAUUGCUAUCCAUGCAUGUGUGGUAGAUGAUUAUGAAGAGAUGAGCACAGCUAAGCUCAGUACUGGAUCUAAAUCCAGCUUGCAGGAUUUCUUGUCCGCCAGGAGCAUUAUAUGAAUACUCAACUUAUUAUUUGACUCAAUUUACUACUCGACUUGGCUUUCUUGACCAACUUGAAUUCGUCUGAGUAUUCUUGAUUUAAGCUGAAUAUUUUUGUCUAGUAUCUAUUUGUCUUUGUUCACCCCUUAAGGGUAUAUCUAUGUAAAGUGACUUAGUUGGGGUAUAUUGUUGGUAUAUUUUAUUUUUUAAAAUCCUGGGCCCUAGGAAGCCCUUUCUUAUCAUUGAAACUAGACCUUGGCUAAAUUAUUGGUUUAUUUAAAGGAUUGAGGUAUAUUUUUAUAUAAAACCAAACUGAAUUGUGAAUGCCGUUUUUACUGCCUUAUGGCCUAAGUUGCUUAUUCGUUCUGAUUGCAUGAUGUGAAGAAUUUUUUUUUUUUUUAACUUAACUUCAAUUAUUUUCUCUGCUUUAUUUGAAACCUAACCGGAAGAGAAUAUCUACCUUUUUUUUAUUUUUUUCAGUUCUCCAGGUAACUUAAUGGGUCAUGCUUCUACUUUGAAGAGUAACUGAGUAAGGAUAAUUUACUUGAGUUUCCUGUCUAUUUUAGUGCGAGGAACUGUGGUUGGGGAAAGCGCACAUACCUCGUUCAGCUGUAGUCCAGGGGUUACCAAAGCUGGCCGCAUAUUCGUUGUCUGUCACAGAUGGCAAACGUGUGAGUGCUGAUCAAUCUCCCUUUGUUCUCCUGUCUCUCUUUUGAAUCAGUCACUUUCCAUAUGCACGUUUGAGCAAGCUAUCACCAACUAUUCUGUUCUUUUUUUUUUAAAUUUUCUUAGACUCGUAUCAUGACAGAAGACCUUUGUGAUCAUGUUUGGGAGUUUCAUUUUAACAAGGUAUGUAAUUUUAUUGCAGUGCUUCUCAUAUGUUAUUAAUUAUUAGUAAGGUCUGGUGAGUGGUGACUCGCCUCUUGAUUUCAGUCUGGCCUUGACGUGGUGCCAAAAUUACUAGAACUUGCAUGAGUUUGAAAUGUGAACAUAUAAAACAUUAAUGUUUUGACGCUUUAAAAGUUUGAUCAUGUGUAGCCUUGGUAAUGAAAUUUCGGCCCAUGAGGAACGAAACUCAUGAAUUAUAAUCUGCCUAUUUGUAAGGCAUUGCUCAUAAUUCAGGCACUCACUCAUGUAACUAUUCCCUGGACUGGUCACAAGUAAAUGAUAAUCCUGGUAAUCCUAUAUUCAAACAUUUCUUAGCAUGCAUCCAAGCAUCCAAGGCAUUCGUAGUGUGUCCUUUCCUUUACUCUGCAGCUUUCUACUAUUUUGUUGGAAACUGAAAUGAUCAAUUGAUCGGAUGACUGCCUUUGAAUGCCAUUUUUCCUUCAGGUGGUACCAGAGUAUUGGCUUAAUCUCGAUCCCUACUGGAAGGGUACUAGCCCUCUAAUGCACCGUUACUUUCAUGAAGAUGGGAGUCAAACUGCAGAUCCUGGUGACGAAGUAUGGGGCGGGCAUGAAUGCUGUUACUCUAUAGUUACCAGUGUUGUUGGUGAAGGAAAGAUUAGGGAGCACUAUGUUAGAAUAAACCGCUGCUGGCCGCAUAUGCUUGUCUCUAGGAAGAAGGACUGGAGCUGGGAAAUGUCAAAUAUCCUCUACUGCUACUCCAGUGUUCCUGAUGGCCACAGGGUUGGUGGUACAGGACCCCUGCUUCUAUGUGUUUAGAGACUAGAAUGAAGUGCUGCCGGGUUCGCCAAAUAGAUAUAGAAUAACUUUCCAAUGAGAAAGCUUGACUAAAGUAAAAGACAGGAAGAAACACAUACUCCAAUGUAGUGUUUACUGCCGUUUAUCAAUUGACUUUUCGUUUUCCCUUUUAAUAAAAUGAGGCUUCUCAUCGGAAGUCCUUUGUUGUAAAAGGUCAUAAGUGGUAAUUGGUACUUCCUUAUUUUGCGGAAUAAAAUAGUUAGAAAGUGUUUUUGGAUAUGCAAUGGACUUUACUGAUAAGUUUUUUAGCUCUUGUGCAUGAUCCAUGUGGUUGCUUUCCUCAACAGAAACAUAUUUAUAGAGUAUUUUUUUGAUCUUUUUAUUUUUUAAAAAAAUUGGGGUGCAGACAAAGUUUAAAUUAAUAUUUUUUAACUCUUAUUUUUCCGGAACCCAAAUUAUAGAUUUUUUUUCAUUUUUUUUAAUUUUCUAAAAAUGUUAAGUUGUGGUUAAAAUUUAAAUUAAUAUUUAUUUUAAUUAUUUUAGAAUUCAAGUGGUCAAUAAAAUAAGAUCAGUUGAUAUAUAUUAGAUCAAGCACCUCUAGCCCUAGUAAUAUAUUUUUACAUUAUAAAUUAAUGUUGUACGUAUAAUUAAGUUCGGCAAUCUAGCCUUUUUCAUGAGAACUGCACAAGAGUUUUUUAUUAGAGUUUAAGAGAAAAAAAAAGUUUAUAUCAGAUUUUAUCUUCUAUUUUUUUAAUAUAACUUAUCAAUUAAAAUAUAAAAAAAAGAAAAGAAAAUUUAAAUCCUUAAUUCAUAAAGUAAUGAUGAUUAAAAAAUAUAAAAUUAUAAUAUUAAACUUUGUCUUAAGCUUUAAUUAAUUAAAAGGAUUCUUAAAUUAGAGAAUUUAGUAUUAAAAAUUUAAAUUUGUAAAAUUUUUUUACUUCAUUUUUUGAUUUAUUAUUUUAUUUUAAAUGGUUAAUUUCUUCAAUUGAAUGUUAUUAUUAAUUUAUUACCAAUUUAUAAUAAUUUAAAAAAUAAUUAAAAAAUCUAUGGAAGCUCAACUAGGCCUUUAUAUUUUCCUUAACAUGGAUUUGCGCAUGGGCUAGAAAAGUGAAAUCCGGUCUAUCAAUUUGCCAUCCCUACGUGUAAUCAUUAUAUUUUGAUGAAAUUAAGAACAAGGACAUAAUCUGCAAGCAUUUUCAUACAGGUCCUUAUGAGAAUGUUGAGGACUUGCGAGAGACUGUAUCACCACCUUAGCCCUUUGUAUGUUAAGAUGAUGAGAUAAUGUUUUAUUAUGCGGUGGAGUAAUAAGUCUUAUAGUGUGAUUCAUAGUGGUGUUAAAAUAAGAUAUAUUAAAUUUAAAAGUAUAACUAGAUUUUAUUAUAAAAUUUAUUACUUUACCAUAUAACAAAAUAUUAUUUAGAUAUCUCAUAAAUUUAGUAAUUUAUGACACAACUUCAUACAAGUUUUUCUCGAGAAUGUGAAUAUGUGAAAUAAUCAGAAUUUUAUCACUUGAUAAUUCAAUCAAUUUCAUAGUAGAACAUAUAAUAUUAUUAAAUGAUAAAUCUUCUUACUGAGGUGGUGCGUCCACCCAUAUAAGUUUUUCUCUUCAUACACAAGACACUAGGACAGGGAUUCAAAUGCAAAUGGAGCAAAUUGUUUUUCUUAUUUGUACUUUACCAAAACUAAGGAGAACAAUGGUUAAUAUCCCGAAAAAGGAAAAUUACAAGACGACGUGUCGAGUUGCCUACAUUCAUCAUCGCUGCUGAGCACACCUGAAGAAGGACGAGCUCUGUUCCCCAUCAUCUUCCAGUCACUCUCUCGCUGUCUCUGUCUCAGUAUCACUGAAUGGAGCUGCAAGAAAUGGAAGAAAAACUGCAAAACGGGGACGUUUUACUUGAGGUGAAGAAGAAGAAGAAGAAGAAAAGGAGAAAGAAGAAGAGAAAGCGAGAGAACAGAAAAUAAAAAAUCGAAGAAGAAGAAGAAGAAGAAGAAGUUGAAUUAUUGCAGGACCCACUUGAGGUUUUGGGUAGAGACAUAAUGUUGAUGAUACUUAAGAACCUCGACGCACGCAGCGUGGCACUAUCUCUCCUCGUGCCCCGUGCUUGGCACGGUGUCGCUUCCAGCGAUUCGAUUUGGUCAGCCAAGGUUAAAUUUCUUCUUUCUUUUUUAACCCUUUGGCUUGUAAUUUGUAUUUGAACUUGGGAUUAGUUUAUUUUGUAUUGAUUUAGUGCUUUCCUUGGAGAAUUUUGAUCAUUGGGUUGCUCUAAUUUCACAAAUGGGUUUUUGUUUUGGGAAAAUUGCAAUGGUUAUAUAAUGUAAAUGUUUGUCUAAUUUGGCAUGUGUUUUGAGAAAGUCUUGAUUAAGCUUGUUAAGUAUUUGUUUGCUGUGUGAAAUAAUCAUAAUAGGAAUCCAAUCAGUUUUGUAGUUUAAAUUUCAAUUAGGUUCCUACUAAAUUGUCUGCUCUUGAAUGACCACAUGGGUAUCAUUACCACGAAUUCAGCAUACCAACAUACUACGUUCUGUAAAUUAUUGUCUGUUGAAUGACCAUGCAUUUGGUUUGGAUUGUAAUUCAGAAUGGGUAGUAUUACAUUGUGAGUGAGAAGGUAAAUAGCUACAAAUUUCGUAGAACAUAUGGGAUUGUUGAAUGUAUGGGAAACUGUCUGUGCAAUCUUCAGAUUUUAUACAAGUAAUCCUCUUGAUUUUUCUGCUUCCAAAUUUAGUAUUUUUUAGUCUAUAAUUAUUAUUUUGUUCUGGGUAAAAGUCUGUUUAGUCCCUAUAUUAUGAGGUUAGUGUCCAUUUAGUCCCUGUAUUUUUAAAAACACCUCAAAACGUCCCUGCUACUAAAUAUUGACACUUAUGCCAUUAUUUUUUAUUAUUUUUAACUUAUUUUUACAAUAUUACAUUUUUACAAUAAUAUUUCUUUUUUGGAUAUUAAUAAAAAAAAUUAAAUUAUCAAAUUAAACUCAAAAAUAAAAUAAAAACAAAAAAGGUAUAUAUUAAUUUUUGUGGAAGCUCACGUAUGUCUAAAAAAUUAAUAUCGUAAAAAAUUACAUUAUCAAUUUUUUUAGAAAAAUUAAUAUUUUAACUCAAGAGUGUGUUCCACAAAAAUUAAUAUAUAUAUUUUAUUUUAUUUUAUUUUUUGGUGUUAAACUGGUAAUUUAUUUUUUUCUUUUUAAUAAUGUCUAAAAAAAUUAUUAUAAUAGGGUUAUUUUUUUCUUUUUAAUAAUGUCUAAAAAAUUAUUAUAAUAGGGCAAUAUUAUAAAAAUAAGUUAAAAGGAACAAAAGAUAAUGGCGAAAGUGUCAAUAAUUUAGUGGUAGGGAUGAUUUGAGGUAUUUUUAAAAAUAUAGGGACUAAACGGACACUAACUUCAAAAUAUAGGGACUAAACGAGCUUUUACCCUUUUGUUCUAUUCAAUUGUAUUAAAAUGAUGGAAAUAAUAAUUAUUAUUUUCUGCCAUAAUGAUUUUCAAAUAAUUAUAUUUAGUUGGUCACUAAAUUCAAAUCCUAGAGGGUGGUGGUGGAUAAAAAUUGAAUUUGAAUUAUAAUUUUAUUUAUCUUUUGGCUUUGUACACUCAGAAAUGGAUUAUCGUGCGAUUCAAAAAUUAUUUGAAAAAAGGAAGAGUCUGAUCAAAGAAACAGACCAAUAUUUGUGGACUCCAAUUCAUUACGCUGCAUAUCAUAAUCAAUAUCAACAGAUAUAUGUGCUAUUAGAUAUUGAUCCAACUGCUUCAAACAUUUUUGACAAAGAUCAAAAGAUGACAGCUCUUCAUUUGGCAGCGGGCCGAGGGCAUGCUAGAGCAAAUGAAAGAAUUCUUUCUCUUGCAGCAAAAUGUUAUGAACUGGUCGAUAACAGGGGAUGGAAUUUUUUUCAUUAUGCAAUGGUCAAUUUUUUUUUUUUUUAAUGAUUUAAAAACUUUCCUAAAAAAUCUGUUAGCGAGGAGUCUUAUAAAUGAGGGGGAUGCCAAGGAGAACUCUAUAUCAUUAGGAAGACUCAAGCCAACGAUCGCACUGUUAACAAGCAAAAUGUUAGUGUUAGACACCUUUUGAAAUAUGGCUAUCCUACGCUCUAAGGUAAUUAAUUUGUUAAUUCUUUCAACUUAUAAUCCAGCUUUCUUUUUCAUUUUUUUUCUUUUUUUGAGUGGUACUAUUAGCACCCCUCUAAAUAUCUCUUAACACCCCUUUUCUUAAUUAACCCCAUUAAAAUGUUUUUAAAAAAUUAAAUAAGUCUUUGAACACCUCCAUUAAUAACAAAAAUACCCUUAAUUAAAACUUAUUGUAUAAACCACAUUCUCUAAUUUUUAUUAUUAAACCUCAUUUUAAUAAUAGGGUCGCUCCUAUUUAAAGAAAAAACAAUAGGUUUUUAUUCUCUCCAUAGUAGCUAUCGGUGGUAAAUUCUUUACUCGAAAAUUAAAGGAAAAAGCAACUUUUUUAAUUACUAAAAUGUUAGAUUUUAUAAGGAAAAAAAUUAUUUGAUUUUUGAGUGGAGAUUUUCUUAAAAAUUUACAUAUUAUGUAAUUUUAAUAAAUGUUAAAAUCGUAAAAUAAUUAAAGGGAUUUUAAGAGCUAUUUGGAGGGGUGCUAAUAGUCCUACUCUUUUUUUUUUUUUUUCAGUUUAUGCAAUUAAUUCAUAUUCAAAUUCAAAUUACAGGAGGAAAUCCAAAAGUUGCCCAAAGAUGUUGGCAGAGGACAAUAUCCAGACAGUGCCACAUUCAUAAGAACAGUGCUAUAUUGCUAAGAUCAGAUCCAAAUGCAGUGGCACGUGCUGUGUUUACUUGACAGGGCUAGUCCGAAUAAAUAUUCAACAUGCCUUAAAAUUUUAUGGUUUUGGUGCAAGGGAUGCUGAAGCGCUUGGUGUGCGUGAGAUCCUCAGCUGGAUUAAGAAGCGGCAUUUGUCUUGUGUUGUAGUAGAAAUGGACUGCAUUCAGGUUUUUAAAGCUCUCACAGCAAGCUAUUCUUGUCCGAAUGGGUAUGGUCUUAUUCUUGAUGAUUGUCUAGCUUUAGCUAAGUCUAUAGGAGAUAUUGAGUUCUCUUUUAUUCGAAGGUCUGCGAACACUGCCGCCCAUGUUACCGCUCGGGUAGGGGGUUCUUUGUCAGGCUUUGAGGAGUGGAGUCAUGUUCCACCUCCUUGGUUAUUUACUUCUCUGUAAUCUUUGCCUUUUAAUGAAGUUUCCAGUUUCAAAAAAAAAAAAAAAACUUUUUUUCUCAAGUAUGUCCUUAAAUCAAUCUUUAUUAAAAUAAUAUUUAUAGUUAAGUUAUUCUUUUUUGGAACCUUUAAAAUUCAAAAUUAAAAAUAGUAAUCUAUCUUUUUAAUUACUUUCUUUGGAGCAAGUUUCUCGAUGUUGCAAUAUCUUUUGAAUAUUUUUUUUGUUACGUUCACACAGACAUAUACAAUAAAUUCAUAAAUUUAUAAUCUAACCCUGCCUGGUCAAAAGAUUAUCUUGACGAUCCUAAAUAUGAUUACAAAGAUAUGACAGCGUCCAAUGUUGUAGUAUAGUGAAAAUUACCCUUUAGGACAAUGCUUUGCACCCCCCUUGAGGAAUUUUCUCUGAGUUCGUAUUCGUUGGUCGGAUAACAAAUUCUUAGUUGUAGGAAGCAACUAUUUGGUUUCCGGCUGCAGCCACAAGGUUAUGAUUGUAACUUUCUUUUUUAAAUAACAAAGAAUAUUGUUGUCAAGCUAUUGUCCAUCACCGUUGAGUUUUUUAUGGGUGUUGUUGUUCCGGCUGAGCUGAUCCUUCAAAAAGUUAUUUUGCCUCAUAUUUCCAACGUAAAUGGCCCAACAAAUUUGUGUCAUUCUGUAUAUUUAUUAAUAUGAAUACGUUUCAUAAUUGUGCGACUUAUCUUUCUGUCUUAGUUGUUAUAUUAAAAAAAUUAACUGGAGAAAAAGAAGAUCUAACAUUUUUUUCUGGUCAAGGCAGCUGCUUCUCGAAAAAAUAUUGUCGCUGAUAUCCUAGGUUUCUCGGAAGGCUCUUUUCCUUUUGUUUAUCUUGGAGUUCCAAUUUUCAAGGGUUGUAUUUUGGCCCAUGCCGGGCGAGUUGAGCUAGUAAAUACUCUUGGCCGUGGGGAUUGAGUUAAUAAUUUUUAUUUUUUUUUCCAUUGAAAACACUACAACGUUUUGCCUUUGUUCUUCUCAGCGGUCUCUCACCCCACGAUUGAUUUAACAUUUCUCUUACAAAUUAAAAGAGUAAGUAAACAUUAAUUAAAAAAUUAUCCAGGUCAGCAAAAAGUCAACAGAUAGAUGCACAAAAACUCUAUUCGCCUCCACGUAAACUCGUAGCAUUUAGAUGCAACCCUUAAAUAAUAAAGUUACUGCUUUCAAGUCGUUGUUCAACACCAUUGUGUUUGCUAAUUGGUAACAUUGAUCUGACUGAUUGAAGCUUUUAACGAAACUAUAUUGAAUCAUAUCAAAUGGACCCUGAUUUCAAAGCUGCAGUUAAAAUACUGAACCUUUUAAGGAUAUGGGAAGAGAUGUAACUUUGAACUAGAGGCGUCAGUGGACUUGACACAGCUGAAUGUGUAAAAUAUAUUUUGCACAAACUAAACAAUUGUAAAACUUUGAAGUUGUCGGAUGGGAAUUGCAUAAUAAGAUUGUCCCACUGGAUCCAUUGUGAUGCUCGUAUUAAAAAGCUAAAGGGAAGAAAGAAAGAUUUUCAUUCAUUAUUUAUUGUCUAUUUUACGAUAAUAUAAAUACAUAAGCUAUUGUAAUAAUUAUAAAAGAAAGUCAAAGGAAAAAUAAAUAAAGAAGUGUAGUAAUUAUCUGGUGGGAGGAAAAUAAAUGAAAAAGAAUAGUAGGUGUCGGUAGGAAGAAAAUAAAUGAAGUGGAGAGGAAAAUAAAUGAAAAGGAGUAGUAGAUGUCCGUAGGAAGAAAAUAAAUGAAGUGGAGAGGAAAAUAAAUGAAAAAGAGUAGUAGGUGUUGGUAGGAAGAAAAUAAAUGAAGUGGGGGUGGUGGCAAUUAUUAUGUCUAUUUUAAAAAUCAUCAUUGCAUUUCAAAAGUUAUUAUUGCAUGUUUUUUACAUGUACCCUGUAGUUAUUAUGCUUGCCUACCAAUAGUGUGAAUCAAUUAAAGGUUGGUGGAAGAAUAAAGAACAUAUGUUAAAUUAAGGUAAGAAUUUCCAUAUACAUAAAUAAUAGUUAAUUAAUUAAGUGAUUUUAAAUCACUUAGAUGUUUUUCUAUCAUACAAAACGUAUAAACGUCUAUAAUUAGUACAUGAAUGACACAUACACAUUCCAUAUAGUAUCAUUUUAGGAAGUGAUUUAACAAGUAACAAGAGGGCUAAGAGGCAACGUUGAAUCACUUUUCUUUUGUAGAAUUAAUGAACUAUCAAUUGUACUCAUAGAGGAUUCCCCUAUUAUUUUAUUGUUUGCAAUCACUUAAGAGUCACUUGAUUCUUUACCCAACAAACAAAAAGAGCAGAACUGUAUAUGGAAUCCGAUGGAAACGUGAUAAGGAAGGCUGCAGUAUUUAAAGAUUGAGGAUAUGGCUCUGCAGACUUUUUCAAUAUGAAGGACAAUACAAAAGAAGAAAUCAUGGUAAACUUUAAUAAUUAAUUGGUAUAUGUUUUUGUGUCUGAGUUCUUAAAAAUAUUGCGCCGCAGUUUAAUUAAUUAUUAAUUAAACAUACAAGCACCCACAGUUGAGAAAUUGAAUAGUUUGCCAAAGAGAAUGACUAAUCUCAAUUUAUUCAUUUGUUUAACUAAAAGAGCAUGAGGAAGAAAUCAAGGUUAAAAAUAGUGAGAAUUAAUGUCGAUACUUUUAACUGUCUGUUUGUCUCUUUUUCUUUUCCGAUAAUACUUCCCUGUUGUUGGCCCUCUUUGUUUCUUUCUUCAAUAUUUUCUACUCGGCCCAUUGAGCCCAUAAUUUCCUGUGCUGCUAUCAACUUGUUUUCCCGCUUUUUUCCUUUCAUUUUUCCCUCCACAAUGCUCUCUCUUCUCUAUGCAUCUGCUUCAUCUCUGUUGCACCUGCUAUCUUGCUGCAAUCGAUCUUCUGCAAUCGAUCUUCUGCAAUCUCUCUCUAUUUAGGCUGUGUUUAUUUGCUGGAGUGAGAGUGAGGAGUGUGAAUUCCUCCCACUCCAGCGUUUAUUUCCUUAAAAUAGGAAGGGAGUAGAGCCCCACUCAUUUUUUUAGUGGGGAGUGGAAGUAGGAGUGGGAAUCCACUCCUACCUCUCCCUUUUUUACCCUUUUAUUUUUUUAAUUUAAUUUAAUAUUUUAUAAUUAAUAAAAUAAAUUAAAUAAUAUUAUAUUUAUUUGAAUAAUAUUAUUAUAUUUAUUUGAAUAAUAAUAUUAUAUUUAAUUAAAUAAUAAUUUGUAUUGAUUCUAAGUUAAAAUUAUUUUAAAAUAAUAUUAUUAUAUUAAUAGAGAAUUAAUAAAUAUAAUAUUAUUAUAUUUAUUUUAAAAAUAAUAGUACUAUAUUUAUUUAAUAUUAAUAAUAAUAAAUAGUUUAUUCUAAGAAAAUAUUAAUUUUGUACUAAAUAAUAUUACAUUAUUAUUUUAUAUAAUAAUAAAUUUAAUAUAAUUAUAUUAAAUAAAAUAAAAUAAGGUUUCAUUUUAUAUUAAAAUUAAUAAUUUAUUGUUCAUAAUUAAGAAUAAUAAUAAUUAUAAUAAAUUUACAAAUAUAAUAAAAUAAAUAUUAUUCAUUAAAUAUAUUUUUUAUUAGUUUUGUAAUUAAAAACUAUAAUUCUUUAAAUAAGGAUAAAAUUAUAAUUUGAAACUAUUUACUCCUAAUCCAAGACAAAGUAAAUACAUAAAUUAGAUUCUGAUCUCUAUUCCAUAUUUUCAUUCCAGUGUAAAUAAACAACCUACUCUCACUCUUACUCCACACUCUCAAUCCUAAGAUUCACACUCCUAGGAUUCACAAUCCAAUUCAAAAAAUAAAUGCUACCUUAAUGCUCCCACACCUACUUCUUCCACCUGGCUACCUCUCAUUAGAUUUGAGCAAAUCCCCAUAUUAAUUUGGCUUGGCCCGGAACAGCCUCCACUCUCAUCCCGAUUGGCCCGACCCGUAUUUUUUCGGUGUCGUUACCCUGUCAAAAAAGCAAGAAUUUAAGACGUGAAAAAUACUACACUUUUCAAGUCAUAUAUACAUACAUGUAAGGUUUAGAGGAAGAUCUAUGAGUACCUCCGAGAUACUGGGUACCCUUAUCUAAUAGAUCAACUUCGCCAAAAUGAAUCCUGUUUCCAUUGAGAUUGAGGAAGCUUCAUUAUUGGACAACAAUGGCGAGAUCAGUCAGUCGCAAAUAGACCCAAUUUUGUUCAAAGUUGCAGCUGCGGGCAAUUCGGAGCCCUUCAAAGAUAUGGCAAGAGAGGUAAUUGAGAGCUUGUUAACAGCAAAGACCAAAAACACAAUCCUGCAUAUCAGUAUCAUAUCCCAAGAAAGAGAAAACGUGUCAACGAAGUUCGUAGCAGAAAUACUUGAGAAAUGCCCAUCGCUGCUACUACAAGUUAAUGCCAAAGGCAAUACUCCACUUAACGUUGCUGCAAAAUUCGGCCAUUCUGAUAUAGUAAGGGUUCUUGUUGAAAGAGCAAAAUUACCUCAACAUGAAAAUGAAGAGCUAGAGAGCGGGGUAGGAGCUGCCAGGCAGAUGAUUAGGAUGACAAAUAAUGAGAAGAAUACAGCACUCCACGAGGCGGUGUGUCACCAAAACGUCGAUGUGGUGGAAAUACUGACGAAAGAAGACCCUGAUUAUCCAUAUUCUGCAAAUAAUUACGGCAAAACGCCACUCUACAUGGCUGCUGAGUCUCGGUGUUCUAAUAUGGUGCUUGCCUUAUUGGAAAACAGCACAUCAGUGUCUCACGAAGGCCCCAACGGAAAGACGGCUUUACAUGCUGCAGCAAUGGAAUUUCCUUUCGGUAAAUUUAGUACCCUUUCAGUAGGAAUUUCAAUAUUGAUAUCUUUCUAUUAAUAGAUUCUUUCCAUAAUGUUCAAGUAAAUACACCCUUUUAAUUCAUUAAUAAAUUAUUAAUUGUCAUAAAUUUAAUCAUGAUAAAUUGUCAGAUAUAAAUUAGUAUUUUAAAAUACUAUAAUAUCCCACAUUGAGGAGAAGUAAGAGCAGUUGAAUUUAGUUUCAAUUAAUUACUUGGUUGAAUUGCUUACAAAUUAGAUGUGAAUAAUUCAAUUUUAUUUAUGAUUGAAUCAAAUUGUGAGACUCAUACUGACUAAUUUAAAUUAAAUAUAAAAAAAAAAGUAGAUAACGAGUUCAAAUUUGAGUUAGGAAAAAGUUAUGUAGUUUUGAUACAUUUGAAGCCUUUAAGGUGGGUUUGAUAGUUCUAUUGUUUUAAAUAAUGUUCUUUACUGCUAUCUCAUCUUUCUUCACCAAUUUAUUUUCUUUUACGAUUCUAAAUUGUUAUCCUUGAGUGCAUGUAACGACCUACCCGAAUUUCAAAGGUGAAUCUAACUACGGUUAACAUAUAAACUUCAACGGCUGAUCGGCAACAAAUCGGCCACUGUUUGAUGGUCAAAAAUUGAAGUGACUGCCAUAAAGGACAAAUCCCAGGUGACGACAUGACCGAAAUCCUGUGAAAACUCGCCGAUUUGAGUCGUCGUCCUCCGUGACUUAACACGGGUUUGUGGGGUGGUCAUAGGCUGUUAACAGCAACAAUGAUGAUGGGGGAAUGACUGGCAUCGUCUGGGAGUUCGGUUGAUACCCUCCAUUGCCGGAGAUGUGGCCGGAAUCGGAAGCACCGAUUCAAGUUUCGUGAACGGGUUGACCUGACCCGUUUCUCUCUCCUCUGACCCGAUCGCGCACGUUGUCUCUCUCACUUAACUCUUAAUCCAGUUAAUGACUAAAUACCCUUAGGAGAAUUAAUUUUCUGAAUAAUGACAAAAAUACUCUUAAUUUAUGAAGAAAUUAAGUGCUGUUAUGAAGGAAUUAAUUUUUUUACUGCGAAAUGCUCCUAAAAAAUUAAUCUUUAGAACUGUAAAUACAGUGAAAAUUGGUCUUUUGGAUGAUAACUAAGAUAGGGAAAGUUGGUUUUAGGAUAAUUAGAUUCACCGAAUUAGUCUUUAGGAUAGUGCUUCAAACAUGUCUCAAUGAAUUUUGCAAAAAUUGUUAUUUCUAUAUGCAAAAUCAGGGAAAUGAUUGCAAGUUCUUAUUUUGUUAAAUAACAAAGUUACCGAUCUAAAGCCAUUAUUCAUUACUCAUCGUGUGAUUGGUGUUGGUGUUGUUGCUCUAGACUUCUGGCUGAUUUGGAAUUUAAAAAAACUAUUUUAUUUUCCUCAUAUUUCCAACAUAAAUAGCCCCCCAAAUAUAGGUCAUUUAUGAAUAUUUACUUUUAUUAAAAGUUUUCAUUAUUAAUUGAUUUAUCUUCUGUAUUCUCAGCUAAUGCUGCAUUCCAAAAAUUACUUGAGGAAAAGAAGAAUCUGAUCAAAGAAACAGAUCAAUAUGGGUGGACUCCAAUUCAUUACGCUGCAUAUCAUGGAAAUUACUGGACGAUAAAAUUGCUAUUAGAAACCGAUCAAUCCGCUUCGAACAUUGCUGACAAAGAUCGAAAGAUGACAGCUCUUCAUUUGGCAGCGGGCCAAGGGCAUGCCAAAAUAGUUAAAGAAAUUCUUUCCGUCAAUCCAGAAUGUUACGAGCUGGUCGAUAACAGGGGAUGGAAUUUUCUCCAUUAUGCUAUGGUUAGUUUUCAUGUUGGACAACUAAGAAAUCUUCUUGAAAAUAAUCCGUUAGCGAGGAGUCUUAUAGAUGAGGGGGAUGCCAAGGGAAACACUCCUCUCCAUGUGCUUGCUGCUGUCCGUCCAAAAGAAUUCGAUGUCGAUUUGGUUAGGAAGACUCAAACCAACUAUGACGCUGUCAACAAACAAAAUGUUAGUGUUAGACACAUUUUAGAUUAUGGCUAUCCUGAGCUCAAGGUAAUUAUUUAAUUUGUUCUUUCAACUAAUUAUUAAAUUUUAUUUUUUUACGAUAUUAAUUAAUAUUCAAAUAUAAAUUAAUUACAGAAAGAAAUCCAAAAAUUAUCCAAAGAUGUUGGCAGAGGACAAUAUUCAAAAGGUGUUAGAAGAGUAGUGCAAAAGUGUGUUACUAAAGAAAAUUACAAGGAUACAAGAGCAUCACAUUUGGUAGUGGCUGCACUCAUAGCAACAGUAGCCUUCGCAGCAGCUUUCACCAUUCCUGGCGGUUAUAGAAGCGAAAAUGGAACUGCAAUCCUGAGGAGAAAUAAAGCUUUUCAAUUAUUUAUGGUAGCAGAUUCCAUUGCCAUGGCCUUUUCUCUUUCUGCCGUCGUUACUCACUUCUGGUUGUCUUAUGUAACUGAAGAAACUAAAGAUUUCAAUGAGGAUUUGUUCCACGCUUCCAUUUGGUUCACCUUAUUGUCCAUGGGAGCAAUGGUGAUUGCAUUUGUUACGGGCACAUAUGCAAUGUUAGCCCCUUCUUUAGGCCUUGCUAUUAUCACUUCUUUAAUUGGCCUGAGCUUUUUCUUUCCUGCGAUUUCGCUCAUCAGAAAUAAUCAGAU
rnacentral:lncRNA from 1 species